AUUUAAGAACAUUUUCUUGCAAAUCUUUGAAUAAUUGAAUCCUAGAAUGUAUGUGUUUGAAAUUUAUUGAUGUGGUCUGUGAGUUACUUUUUGUUGUUUUAUGCUGUUUAUUAUGAUUUCCUAAAUAAGAGAGCCUAAAUUAAGAAAAAAAUAGGUGUCUGAAUAAAAUGGUAGUUUUAAUUAUUGUUUCCUGCUUGAAGUUGAAUGCUGUCCAUAUAUGAUUUUGAAUGCUGGAAAUUUGCAGCAUUUAAUUUCCUGCUUAGAAGUUGAUUAAACCAUGCUGUAAAUGCAAAACAUUUAUAUGCUGUUCACAUGCUAAAUUAACCAUUAGUGAGCUUAAAAUUGAUCUAUUCGAAUGUGUUAAAUUCAUUGUUCAAUGUGAUGUUAUUUAUGCUAAUGUAUUGAGUAUAUUAAGUUGUGCAAUUUGAUGUUAUAUGUGGCGUUAAUGUUGACUUGUUAAUUGCAUAUUUUAUUAUUAAUUUGACGUUAUAUGUGUCAUUCAUUAACUUUUGUUUCUUUUUUCUCAGGUUUGAGUUUUUGUUAGAUGCAUGGUUCAGGAUUAGCUGAAUUCAUGCAUAGUGACGACUUGUUUGAGCUAAUUGCUAAUCUUAAAGUGUGCAUUCUAUCAUUAUUUUGUUCUAUUUGUAUUUUGUUAGAUUUCUGGUGUUGUAUGAUAAGUGCGGUAUUUUGUUUGAUUGUUAUUGAUAAACUUUCUAUUUGGUGGGAUAUAUAUUUAUAUCAUAGAUAUUAUUCUUCUUCUCAAUAUUUUGAUAAUGAAUUUUAAUUUUUUUAUAUUUUUCAUGACUUUUAUAAUAUUUUAUUUUUUUUAAAAUUUUAUGACCUUUAGCAGCGUUUUUUUAGAUAAACGCUGCAAACUUUAGCGGCGUUUUUUGCGGUGCUUGCAAAAACGUCGCAAAUAGUUUUAGCGGCGCUUUAAAAGCCUAAAAAAUGCCGCUAAAAGUCAAUUUUGCUGUAGUGAUGUGUACAACACGUAUAUCAACAUAAUAUCAUGUUGAAAUAGGAAGUUUAGUUCUCAUAAGUAAUGGUUUAGACCUUAAUCAAAGGCAUUCAAGCAAUAAUUUCUCUAAACCAUUAUGCGUAUAAAUAAUAAAUUUUUACAAAAGUUUUUCAAACUCAAUCAAUAAAAGAUCGAGAUAUAAAAUCAUCAGUUUUAGCAAGAUGAAUUGUCUUAAUUGCAUUAUCUGGAAUUUAUUAUUUAAAUAAGUAUUUUUGCAAAUGACGGGUUGCAAGUUGAUAACACAUACAUGAUUAUUUUGUGGGUAAACUACAAAAAUAGUCACUUUUGUUUGCUUCACAUUACAUUUUAGUCACUUAUGUUUGAAAUGUUACGUUUUAGUCACUUAUGUUAUCGUUUUGUUACGAAGUGGUCACUUUACCGUUAAGCUUCAUUACCUCUCUAAUGGCGGUCCUACGUGGCAGUCCAAAUGGGUUUUAAAUGCGAACUUGGAUAUCCUAUGUGACAGUCUAAAUUAAAUUUAUUUAAUUAAAAACCUAUUUUUGUCACAACAACUGAACAUCCAAGUAGGUAUUUAAAACCCAUUUGGACUGCCACGUAGGACCGUCGUUAGGGAGGUAACGGAUCUUAACGGUAGAGUGACCACUUCGUAAGAAAAUGAUAACAUAAGUGACUAAAACGUAACAUUUCAAACAUAAGUGACUAAAACGUAACAUUUCAAACAAAAGUGACUAUUUUUGUAGUUUACUUUUAUUUUGUAGAUGCAUCAACCAAAAUCAUAUAAUAUCAAAACCAUCCACAUGGUGGAUGAAUGGACCCAUAUUCAUUUCAGAAAUGCAAGACAUUAAAUCUCAACUUUAGCUAGUGAGUUUCUAACAAUCAAUUUUCGUUGAGAACAAACAACAAAUGAGAAUUCUUUAAAUUAAAGAAGAUUCUUCAAUGAAUGUCCAUAUGAAUUCUUAAUUAAUUUUUGCAUCAUAUAUGAUCUAGAAUGGUCUAACUGAUCACGCCAAGUACUAAAUGCAUUUGUAUUAGUAAACUUUUGGUUUACUUAAACAUGUGUUUCAAUUGUACUAAAAUGUAACAAAUUGAUAAUUUUACUAUCAUUCCUUUUACUUUGUAUAUACAUAUAAGUACUAUCGUGACAUUUACUACUGGAAAUGUCUAAAUAAAUGUAAAGUCUAUAAUGUCACUAAGUCAAUAAAUAUAAUUUUCAAAUAAUUAUAUGCAAUAUUCGCUUCAGGAAAUAUGCCAAAAUUUUCAAAUGUAGGGCAUUUGGUCUAGUGGUAUGAUUCUCACUUUGGAUGCGAAAAGUUUCGAGUUUGAUUCAAAAUACUUUUAAAACCCUUUUAACAAGAGUUUUGCAUAAUCAGUUAACUAUCAAGAAUAACUGCCUAGGUCAUAUAUAGAAACAAGCCUAUACUAAAUAUAUCAAUAAACUCCACAUCUCAAAUAUAAAAAUAUGACAUAAUGAAAAACUAGCAAUUUUUUUUUCAUAACCAUCAUCAUAAACAUGCAUGAAAUUUAAUUCAAAAUCCAACCAUUUAAGCUCAUAGAAUUUUUCAUUUACAAUUGCUCAUAUCGUUUCUCUAAAUAAUUAAAAAAUGGAAUAAUAUAAAACAUAUGAACUACUACCUUUAACAAUUCUUUGAACUAAAUCAAAUAUGAAUAACAAUAAAAUUCAUUGGUUUAUGAACAUAAAUUUGCAUACUAGAUAUGUUUUAAUCAAAUAUAUUAUUUAAUUAUAAAACCUACUAUAGCAACAUAAAUAAACCAGUUAAUAUUCAUUUUCAUGAACAAAUGAGAUGCUUAAAAUAAUAUGUAAUACAUGUAAUAAAAACUUAAAAAGAAAACCAUCUCAAAAAAUUUAAAUAAUAUACCAAGUUGAUUUAAUAGACGUACCAUUAAUAGCAAACUUUGAGAGUGAAUCUUAUUUUCCAAGUGUACAAUAGGUACAUAACCAAUGACUCUUCAUAAAUAAAUUGUCUCUCUUCUUAAAAAGUUCUUAGAAAUUCUUGUUAUUUUCUUGCUUUCUUCAUUUUCCACUUCUAGUGGUGAGAAAAUUUAUUAUGACCAUUCCCCAUGACUAUUAUUAUAGUCCAAUUUACUACAUCCAUGUUAAAGAUUAUUUCUUUUGGAUUUAUUAGAUAUUAUUACAUUCUCUUUAGAGAAUGAUUAGGUUUCGUGGUUAAAAACUUUUGUUCAAUCAUAAGUAAAAAAAAUUCAUGAUAUUGCUACCGUAGGAGCAUAUUUGAAUCAUGAAAAGUUGAAUAAGUUCUCUUUUGCAAGGUUAUCAUUAGUAAUAUUUUUCCAUGUAAUUUUAAUUGAGAACUUAUUUUGAAUACUGUAGAGUUAUACUCACAGUUUAAAAAAAAAAACUUGCAACUUCAGGGGCAUCCAACCAUAACGAGAUUUAGAUAGAAUUACCAUAUUCUAUUACUCAUAAGUAGAUCUUUCAUAGUCAAAUAUUUUACUUUCAACCCCUUACUGGGGAUGAUGACAAAAGAAGAUCAUAAAAAUUGUAAUGCCCCGUACCCGAUACCGUUGCCGGAGUCGAACACGAGGUGUUAACGGACUUAAUUCAUUACUUAAACAGCUCAUACAAUUCAUUUUAAAAUUUCCAGACAAACUGGCUAACUGCAUCACAGUCGCUUUAAAAAUCAUAUCUCGAGUUCCGAAACUCAAAAUCCAAUUCUGUAAAUUUUUCCUGAAACUAGACUCAUAUAUCUAUCUACUAAUUUUUUUUUCUAGAAUUUUUGGUUGGUCCAAUUAGUACAUUUUAUUAGUUAAAGUCUCCCCUGUUUCAGGGUUUGACUACUCUGACCUCUGUAUAUUACGAAUCAGAUAUCUCCCUGUACAGAGCUUCAAUAACUAUGUCGUUUGUCUCUAAUAAAACUAGACUCAAUAAGGAAUCUGUACAUAUAAAGCAUGACUUCUAAUUAUCUUUGUAAAAUUUAUGGUGAAUUUCCAAAGUCAGAAAAGGGGAUCCAGAAAUCGCUCUGGCCCUGUUUCACAAAAAUUUAAACAUCUCAUAAAAUAUAACUCAUAUACCUGUUUUGUACCAUCCAUAUGAAAAUAGACUCAUAAUUCUUCAAUUCCAUAUAUUAUUAAUCAUCUAAUUGUAUCUCUAAUAUUUUUAGUGAUUUUUCAAACUCACGUCACUGCUGCUAUCUGAAUCUAUUUUAUGGUAAAUUUUACCUAUUUCAUGGUUUCCAUGGAUUAGCUAGCAAUUUAGCAUACAUAACACCAAAUAUGAUCAUGAUUAGCCAUUCCAAUGGCUAAUCAUUACCAAGCAUCUCCAUACCACUCAAUAACCAUAUCAUAAGACCAUAUACACAAAAUGAUUAUAAUGCUAUACAUGCCAUACUCAAAAUAUACAAGCCGUUAUGCCAAGAUGGUAUACGGAUAGUGUGAGCGUGCCUCCGACCGUUUCUGAUUUCCGAGCUGGCUUGUCAACACUACAAGGAAUGAAAAGGAGGGAGUAAGCAUAAAUGCUUAGUAAGUUCACAUGCAAAUAGCAAGUAACAUAACUAUAUAAGCAAACAUAAAACAUCAUUUGCAUAAUCAUCACUGAGACAUUCAUAUCACAUUUUCAUUUAUCAUCUUACCAUAUUGUUGUUAUAUCGAGUUUUCAACCCGAGGGUUAAGUACAUACCUGUUCAAAGUAUCCAUUUCACAAAACUUACCAAUACGUCCCUUUCAUCUUGAGUAUUCAUCCAUUUGAGUAGAACUUUACCUGUUGAACACAUCGGAAUAUAAUUCGGAUACAUGGAAAGUUUGCACAUAAGUGCCACAUAUGUAGCCAAGCUACCAUGUAACCCGCCCAUAAGUGAACUCGGACUCAACUCAACGAGCUCGGAUGCCUAGUUACAUCUCUCGAACUCGGACUCAACUCAACGAGUUCAGACAUUCGCAUCCAUAAGUGAACUCGGACUCAACUCAAUGAGUUCGGAUGCUCAACCAUCCUAGUGACAUGUCACUUGUAUCCUAAUCCAUUCCUAAGGUUCAACGGGACCUUUUUCCCAAUCAUGUGUCUCAACCAUCUUCUACGGAAUGCCGACACCGAUACUCGGUAGUAUUUCACAUUUUCCAAAUAUAUCACAUAAUUUGACAUAUUAUCAAACAAUUAUCACAAGUAUAAUAUUUCAUAAUAAUUAUCAUAUCAUUUAAAUAACAUUAAAACAUUUAAAAUAAUAACUAUGUUACCAACAUUCACAUAUGAACUUACCUCGUAUGCGAAAAUGGCUACUUUUACCAUUUCGUCCACAACUUGGUAUUUUCCCCAUUUUAGCCCGAAUUUCAGUUUUCCUUGCUCUAUCAUUUAAAAUAUAGUCUAAUUAGGACUCAAAUUAUUCAAAUUGACCCAAAAUCAUAUUUUGGCAAAAUUAUAGUUUUCCCCUAAACUUUUGCAUAUUUACACUUUUGCCCCAAAGCUCGUAAAUUAAAAUUCAGCCUAUUUUCUUAUGUUUUAUGACAUGCUGAUCAUUUUUCCCUUCUAUGGAAACAUCAAAUUCUCACUCUAACAUGUACUUAUGACUAUUAGGUAUUUUUACCGAUUAAGCCCUUUUGCUAGUUUUCGCUUAAAACUGAGUAGCACAAGUUGUCUAACAUAAUUUAAAACCUCAUAUUUUAUCAUAAAACACCAAAAUAAAAAAAUUUCACCUAUGGGUAUUUUUCCAAAUAUAAACCCUAGGUUAAAUUAUUGCUAGCAUAAGCUUAAUCGAGCUACCGGGACUCCAAAAACGUAAAAAUCAUUAAAAACGAGGCUAGAACGGACUUACAAUCGAGCUUGGAAGCUUGAAAAACCCUAGCCAUGGUUUUUCCUUGCUAUAUUCGGCUAUGGGGUUGAAGAUGAGCAAAAUUGGCUUUUAAUUUUGUAUUUUAAUUCAUUUUACCCCUAAAUGACCAAAAUGCCCUUACUACUAAACUUUCCAAAAAUUUCAUCCAUGUCCAAUUUUUGUCCAUAGACUUAGAAAUUGGUAAAAUUUCUAUUUAAGACCUCCUAAUUAAUAUUUCAAAACAAUUUCAUACUAGAAACUUCUAGAAUGCAAGUUUUGCAAAUUAUUCGAUUUAGUCCCUAAUUUUAAUUUAAGCACUUUAUGCAUAAAAUUUCUUUACGAAAUUUUCACACAAUCAUGAAAUCAUAUCAUAGACCUUAAAAUAAUCAUAAAAUAAUUAUUUCUAUCUCGGAUUUUGUGGUCACGAAACCACUAUUCCGACUAGGCCCAAAAUCAGGAUAUUACAAAAAUAGUCGCAAUCAAUUCAAUUUAUAACAAGAGUAAUAAAUAUAAAUCAAUAAUCCAAUUCUUUUUUGAUUCAUAUGAAAUAUAAUCUUUUCCUCAUUUACGAUCUUAAUAUGAGAUCCAUUAGAAAUAUCUUUUGAAAUUAUUGGAUUAACCAUCACAAGAUAUUAAUAUAUUAGCUCUUCUGGAGCUUUUGACUAAUUUUUUACUACCAAAUAUUGUAAUAAUAUUGGUUUUUAUUUUCUUUUAUGAUUGCGUUCACUUUGGGGAAUGCAAUAGAUUUACUAGGACGAACUUAUAAACGUCCUAAUAGAUUUUUUAUUUCAUAAUCACCAUCGAAACAUGCGUGGAUUUCAAAUCAAAAUCUACCUAUUCAUUUUGUCAUGAUUAGUCUCCAAUUAUAAUAAACAUGAUAUAAUAAAUAAAUCAUAAUAAAAUAUACCUGAAGAUCUUUAACAUCAUCAUCAUCACCUUAAGUGGUUAAAAGUUCUAAUGAUUACCUGUAGUGCGCAGGCCUCAAUUGAAAUAGCAAUAGCUUUAAGAGGCAAUCGACAACAAUAAAUUUUAGGAUAUUUUUGUGACUUAUGGAGAAAAACAAUUAAAAGAUAAUCAUGUCGAUAACGUGUUAUAAAAUAAAAGGACAAAAAGUAAAGAAUAAAGGCAAUGGGAGAGCAAAGAGAGAGCAUAUUUUAUUGAUCAAUAGGAAUAUUUACAAAGCUUCUCCAAAGUCUCUAUUUAUAGGCAUAAGAAGUAUAAAUGAAGUAGAGAUCUACUAAUUACCAUUAGAAUUUAAAGUAUAUCAAAACUUAUCUUGAUGGAUAUCCAUUUGAUAAGAUACUCAUAACAUGAUAGAAGUUUUUGGAUAAUUUAUGAAAUGUAAGUUUAAAAAUCUCAGUUAUUUAAAAUUGAAUUGAAUUGAAUUAUUUAUUUUUAUUUAAUAUAUAAGUAAUUUUAAACUUUUAUUAUAUAAAAUUAAAAAUUGUAUAUUUAAACUAACCAAAAUAAUUUAAAAGUUAUUAUUUUUUAGAAAUAUAUAUAUGAAAAAACUUAAAAAAUUUUCAAAUAAUACUUCAAAAUCAUAAAACAAAACUUAUUUUAUUAAAAUAAAUCUAAAAAUAUAAAACAAAUAAUUGUAAUGAAGAAAAAAAUCAAGAAUUGAAUAUAAUCAAAUUACCAUUGGCGACUCAAAACCUCUACAAAAACUUAACCAAACCAAACCCAUAUCAUUCUCCGUGCUUUACUGUUCAUUUGACUGAGUUGGGAGACAUUGGGUAGAAACUUCUUCCAUUGUGAGAAAGAAGUUGGAUGAUGGCCUGUGGUGUACUUAUUCAAGCAUUUGAGCUUGCCGGGCUAAAGAUGGGUGGAAAGCAUUGUGCUUUAUCCAAACUUGUCCUCCCUUGCCAUCGACAGAUUGAAAAUGGAAAUGCAAUGAAUCCACUUAUUAAAUUGAACAUAACAACGCAUAAAACUAUAGGGCUCUCCUCAACGAGUGUAUGACGAAGGGAAUGUGAAGUAAGUACAAGGCCUUUCAUAGUAAGUAUAGUAAGGUGACUAUUUUAUAAUUAGAUUGUCAAUAAAUUUGUUAAUGGUUUAAUAGAUAUUAAUUGUUGUAACUGAAUACUAAGUUCUUAUUUCAUGUCUUCAUUGUUUGCUCAAUUAAUUAUUGUGGAUGUACUAAUGAAAAUUCUUUAUUUAAAAUAUUCUUUCCAUGUGUUUAUGUUGUUUCUCAUCUAACUCAUAUAAAUAGAAAAUGUACAUUGCUAUUUUUACAAUUGAAUUUCAGAGUAGCGGACUUGAUGAUAAAGCCUUCAGUUCAGAUGAUGAAUGAGGCUUACUGCAUAUUAUGUAUCAUUUAUAGUGGUUGAAUGCAGUUGUCCCAUAAUUUUUUGAUGUCAUGGGAAACAAGUUGACAACAUAUUUGCAACGUGUUUACUGCUUCUAUUAGGAUUUUGUAGAAUUUUUUGAUGUCAUGUGAAACCGGUUGACAACAUGUUCGCAACUUGUUAACUGCUUCUAUUAGGAUUUUGCAUAUAAAUUACUAACUUUAUUAUUCAAUGGUAAUUUUGUAUUUAUAUAAUCAUUUUAUGUUAAUUAAUUGUUCAAUUAAUAUUGUCUCAAACUUUUCCAAACCCAAUACAUACAAAUUUGCCCAUAUUUCGCCAAAAUAGGCUCUUAAAAAUUGGGGAAAAAUGUUGUAAAAAAACAUUGGACAUGAGACAAAGAUCUAUCCCAACCUUUUUAAAUUUGCCUUAGAUGGGUUUACCCUAACCUUUUUAAGGUUGCCUUAGACAAGUUUAUCCCAACUUUUUUUAAGUUGCCUUGGAAAAGGUCUAUCCCAACCUUUUUAAGGUUGCUUUAAACGAGUCUAUCCCAACAUUUCUAAGGUUGUCUUAGAUAGGUCAAUCCCAACUUUUUUUAAAAUUUACCUUAGACAAGGUUUAUCCCAACCUUUUUAAGGUUACCUUAAACGAAUCUAUCCCAACUUUUUUAAGGUUGUUUUAGAUAAGUUUAUUCCAACCUUUUUCGAAAGUUGCCUUAGACAAGAUCUAUCCUAACUUUUUUUAAAGGUUGCCUUAGACAAGGUCUAUCCCAAACUUUUUUAAAAUAUAUCUUAGACUGGUCUAUUCCAACCUUUUUAAUGUUGCGUUAGAUGGGUCUAUCCCAACCUUUUUCAAUGGUUGGUCUUGACUAGGUCUUUCCCAACCUUUCAAUAAGGGUCGGCUUAUGUUGACUUAUGCCGACACUUUUUCAACAGUGUUGUGGAGCCUAUACCAACAAUGUACUAUAGGCAACCUUUUUGGAAGCCUCGGGAGAAGCGUUGGGAAACCUAUGCCAACCUUUUUUACAUCGUCUUAUGUAAAAAAAAAAGUGUUGCGGUAGGCUUGUUUUGUUGUAGUGAUCAAAAGAUGCCAAAACUCAUUUCACGAGAUAUUUGCAUGAUGCUUUGAUUUACACGGGUUAUUUUAUAUUUUGUCUCUUUGCUAAAAUACAUCCAAUAUUCACAUGCUUCACAGGCCCAGAGAUUUUGGAGAUUUAUACAUUCACGCAUCCAAAGUCCAACUCACCUUUAUUCUACUACACCAUAUAGAUUAUACAAGGUAACUAAAGGAUGGCGAUAGGGGAUGAAGUCCCCAGUGGAGUCGCCAAGCUGUCGAAACCUCUUUUGAAAUUGAAGAGGGUAUUUUGAAAAUAGGAGUCGCCACCAACCUUUUAAAGUGUGAUUGGAUCACUUUAUAAAACGUUUUGGUCUACGAAAUUACGAGAAAAUAGGUUCGGGAAUCGGUUACGCACGAGGAAGGAUUAGCACCCUCGUAACACCCAAAAUUGGUACCAAAUUGAAUAAUUUUGUCUUAAUGUCAAAAGUUUGAAAGAAUUUAGAAAUAAGAUCUCUUUAAAACCGUAAUAAUUUGAAUUAGAAUAGAAUCAAGAUUCUUUGGCUUUGAAAGAAUAUAAACAUCAUAUCCAGCAUAAUUGGACACGAUAUUUUUAACUUUUGUAACUAAAAUCAUCUUGUAAUUUUCAAAACUUAUUUAGAAUGAUAUUUUAGGUAUUUAGACAAACGGGAAAUCGCAACCCAGCAUGUUAGGGCACUACCUCCAGAAUUCCUAAAUACCAAAAACAUUGCCUUAUGUUUUUAAAAAAUCUUUUGGAUCGAAUGAAAUAUAAAAGUUCUUUUAAAGUGAUGAUGCAUUUGUCAUAUUACAAAGGAUCAAUAUUAACCUACAUGAUACUUAUUUUAACAUUUCAUGCAAAUAUAAUAAAGAUGAAUAAUGGCAUAAAUUACACAAUAUACGUUAUUAUCUUAUGCAUAUAUGAUCAUAAAUAACAUAAAUGUACAUGCAUUAUCGUUACAUGCAAAAUACAACGUAGAACAUAAUGAAUACAACAAAUAUAAAUUACAAUAUAUAUGAUGAUAUUUUAUGCAAAUGUAACUUAAAUUAACAUAAAUAAUUAAUUUCAUGCGAAUAUAUAAAAACAAUAACAUAAAAUAACAAAUAAUCUAUGAAAAUUUAACCUACUAAAACAAUAUCAAAAUAAAAGAAAACAAAAAUAAGCAAAUUAUAAACAUAUAAAAUAUAAAUCAAAUGGAAUAAAAAUAGAGAUAUUUAAAAAUAUUUAAAAUAAUAUAAGAAUGAUAAAGGAGAACCCUUUUUUAAAAAAAAUGAUUAAUAUAUAAAUCAUGUUAUAGAAUAUAAUAACUUAAUAUAUAUUAAAAAAAUAAUGUACUAAAUAGUAAUAUUGCACAUAUUUAUUUAAUAAAAAAAUAUGUAGUUAAUGAGUAAUAAAAUAACGUAUAUUUUAUAAUAAAAAUAAAAGUAAUGUAAGGAAUAAUAUAUGGUAAAAUAUAUAGCAUAUAAUAAAAUUUAUAAACAAAGUAUAUAAUAAUAUAACCAUAUGAUAAGUGAUAUAUAAAAAAAAUAUAUAUAAAAUGUAUAUAAUAUAAUAUAUAAUAAAAGGAAGAUAUUAUAAGGAAUAAUAUAUAAAUAAAAUAUAAUGAAAUAUAAAUACUAUCAUAUAAGUAAGGAUAAUAUAUAUACUAUUAUUUAAUAAUAAUUUUUUAAAGAUUUAAAAUUUACACAAUUAAUGAAUAAUAAUACAUAAUUUAUAAAUAAAUAUAAAAUUGAAAAAGAAAAAAAAUGUAAGAAAUAAUAUAUAUAGUAAAAUAUAAUGUAUGAUAUAAUUUAUAAAUAAAAUGUAUAAUAAUAAAAAAAAUAUAAUGGAUAAUAUAUAUAAUAAAAAUAAUAUGUUAUUUUAUAUAACUAAUAUUUAUAAAAAUAAUAAUAUAUAAAGUAUAUAAUAAAUAAAUUAUGCAAAAAAUAUUUAAAAGGAUUGAAAUUAAAUAAAACUAAAGUUCUAGGGCUGAUUUUAAAAUAACAAAAAAAAAGUUCAUGCCUAAUUGGAACGCGUUCAACACUACAAGGGACUCACUAGGUAAUUUGCCCUAAUCCCAAAACGACGUCGUUCUUCAGAAUGGAUUUUAAUGGCCGUUAGGAUUAAAUUGAAACAAAUAUAAAAGAUUAGGGCCGAAUUAAAAUAAAAAUAAAAUGAAAUUAUAAAGAUUAAAAAUGCGGAAGGACCAAUUGGGAAAUUAUCCCAUUUUCCCAAAACACGCGGAUCCUCCCCGAGUCUCGGGUCAAUGCGCGGAUCCUAGCUUAAACGAUGUCAUUUUGGUACUUAUCAGAUUAAGUAAAACGACACCGUUUUAAUUACACUAUUUAAGUCAAUUUUCGGCCCAAAAAUUCAUUUUAGGAAACUGUUUUAAAAAAAAACUUUGAAAACUCUCUGAAAGAGAGGAGAUGGCAGUCCUCCGGGCUUCGGUCUCCGUCGGGCCAAGCCCCGGGCAUCGGACUCAUGCGCCCACGCGCCGUCGCCGACUUUGCCAUAUACGACGGCCGAAAGCUGAAAAACUUCCAUUUUUUGUGCAAAUUCAAUGGUAAACGCUCCUUUUUUUUAUUUCUAUAACAUUUGUAUAUGUUAGCAAGAAGAACAGGUAAAGAACUAAUCACCUUUUCUUUUCGUUGAUAAACUGUUGUAUAUAUUUGUAUUUCUCUUUUUCUCCAAAAAAAAAAACACCCCUACAUCGUUUUAAUUCGGGCUUUUUAUAGACACUGUACAUAGUAUUUUACAUAUUUAAUGUUAUUUCCUGCCAUAUUUGUGUUGCCUCUGUCGUUCUUCUUUCCCCUUUUGCAGGUACCAGCGAGGAGAUUUAGCAAUGAACGAACGCUGACAACGGCACACCGGCGUUGAUUCGGGCGUCGACCACGGCAUGAUUCAAAGCCUGGAAUCAUGGCCUGGAACCACGGCACUAAUAAUGGGUAACUGGAACGACGCGAGACGAACAGACGCGUUGAUUGAAGUGUUUGCGGCGCCUAGGGUUUCUAAAACCCUAGGUCUUUCGCCCUUGGCUUACAAUUUGGGCCACUUGGGCUUCUCUAAGUUGGGUAAGGGUGUAACGGGUUAGUGGGUUUAGGUAUAACCGGGUGUGGGCUUAUUGGGUUGUAACCGGGCAUAGGGUUUUAGGUUAAAUGGGUCUUGUAUCAUCAAGCCUUUAGGCCCAUUUGUAAACUGGACAUUUCAACAUGGAGAUUUAUUUAUUUAAUUUACAAAUUUUGUUUAUUUCAUUGUACGGGCCCGGGUGAAUUUGGGCUGUUACAGCUGCCCCUCUUUGCUUAUUACUGUGUAACAGGAGUAGAGUAAAGAUUAUAAAAGGACCUAAUUUGUCCGGCCCAGCCAAGUCUCGAAAUCUUGAUCCUCAUCUUUAGGUAUUCUGAUAGCUUUGGGAAUGUCAAAUUGGCUAUCUUCAACCUACUUCUUGCAAACUUAGGAAUACCAAAUCUGUUAACUUCGAUCUGCUCUCAGACACUACAAAAACGCCAGAUCUGCUAUCUUCGAUCUGCUCUCUGAUAAAACAGAGACGCCAAAUCUGUUAUCUUUGAUCUGCUCUCUGACAAUACAAAGACACCAAAUCUGCUAUCUUUGAUCUACUCUCUGAAAAAAUAGAAAAGCCAAAUCUGCUAUCUUCGAUCUGCUCCUUGUGAGCGCAAGGAUGCCAAAUCAUCUUGGAUUUGCUUUGAUGCAAAAACAUCCGAAGGUUAGAUCUGCUAUGUCUUCGAUCUGCUUUCCGUCGAAUAUGGAGAUGCCAAAUCUAUUUUUUCGAUUUGUUCUCUGACAAUACAGAGAUGCCAAAUCUGCUAUCUUCGAUCUUCCCCUUGUAAGCGCAAGGAUGCCAAAUCAUCUUGGAUCUGCUUCGAUGCAAAAACAUCCGAAGGUUAGAUCUGCUAUGUCUUCGAUCUGCUCUCCGUCGAAUAUGGAGAUGCCAAAUCUGUUUCUUCGAUUUAUUUUCUGACAAUACAGAGAUGCCAAAUCUGCUAUUUUUUAUCUGCUCUCUGACUAUACAGAGAUGCCAAAUCUGCUAUCUUUGAUCUGCUCUCUGACUAUACAGAGAUGCCAAAUCUGCUAUCUUUGAUAUGCUCACUGACAAUACAGAGAUGCCAAAUCUGCUAUCUUCGAUCUGCUCCCUGACAAUACAGAGACGUCAAAUAUGCUAUCUUUGAUCUGUUCUCUGACUAUACAGAGAUGCCAAAUCUGCUAUCUUUGAUCUGCUCUCUGACUAUACAGAGAUGUCAAAUCUGCUAUCUUUGAUCUGCUCCCUAACAAUACAGAGACACCAAAUCUGCUAUUUUUGAUCUGCUCUCUAACUAUACAGAGAUGCCAAAUUUGCUAUCUUUGAUCUGUUCCUUGUAAACGCAAGGAUGCCAAAUCAUCUUGGAUCUACUUUGAUGUGAAAACAUCCAAAGAUUAGAUCUGCUCUAUCUCCGAUCUGCUCUCCGUCGAUUAUGAAGAUGCCAAAUCUGUUUCUUCGAUUUGUUCUUUGACAAUACAGAGAUGCCAAAUCAUUUUGGAUCUGCUUCAGUGUAAACACGUGAAAGCCAAAUCUGCUAUGCUUUAGCCUGUUACCCUACUGCUUAGGGGGUUAAGGCGCAUCAAUCUUCAUUGUCCCUUGAAGGACAUAACCUGUAUAAUGUGUAUGAGUUCAUGCCUAAUGAUUAGGAUGCUAUGAUCGAAGUGAGUCAAAUGCUCCUAAUUAAACCUGUUAUAAUGCAAAAUGUUUAUGAAUAUGACCCCUAUUCUAGACAUCACCACCCAUUCCUUCGUCGAAGUUUAUCCUUAUUUUUCUCUAAGUAUCAUUCCUACUCAGCCUGUGGGUUCGUACCAUUCUUCAAAUACUAUGACCCACCAAAAAUGUUUGUAAGAUGAUCCUCUCUUAGGAUCGAAUCGUUUGAUUUGUCCAAUCAUCAUUUUAGACUAAAAAAAAAAUUUCCUCGAGUUCUUUCAAACCUUACUUACGUGAAUUCCUCAAACAAUUGUUUUGUUUUAGUUUCUUGUAUUAUCUAAAAAUUUCCAGAGUAAUGAGUAAAACUUCAUUUAUGAAAAUUAUUUAGUUCAUCUAUCAUUAUUUAAUGCAACAUACUUUAAGGAUAAUGGAAGAUGAAUUCAAUCUUGAGAAUAAUGAGAUUUGAAUGAAUUUGUCAAAAAUACAAAGGAAAUUAAUCUGAUACCCUAUCUUUGAGAAGAAAGAGAAUCUAAAGAUAGCAAACAGGACAAAAGUUAGAUGCCCUAGAUAUCGCCGCUUGAGCAUCUGUUUACCAGCUCCAUGAAAGCUUUCUUGAGUUCAACAUGUGUUUAAGAGAUCCAAAGUACUUUGUUGAUGCCCCGGUAUGCAACGGGCUUCGCUCUUUGUUAAGUCAGAUAUAGCAAGAUUACUGAGUACUCUUCAAAAUUUGAGCCGCCCUUUCGGGUUUUCAACUCAAAACCCCUUUGGUCACAAGGCACCCUUUGCGGGUUUUCACCUUGGCCUCUCCAUUUUUUUUUGAAAACUCAAGGUGCACUUUGUGAGUUUUUACCCUGGAUUCUCCUUUCCUUUAGACAAAGUACUUUUUGACUGAGUCUAAAUUCACUGGAUUGGGUAAACUCUUCCCAUACAUUUCUGUUAAGAUCAAUGCACCCCCAGAGAAGGCCUUCUUCACGACAUAUGGCCCUUCCCAAUUCGGCGUCCAUUUUCCUCUAAAGUCCUUCUGAAUAGGAAGGAUCUUUUUCAGCACAAGAUCCCCCUCGUGGAAUUCUCUUGGUCGCACUUUCUUGUCGUAAGCUCGCAUCAUUCGCUUCUGAUACAUCUGACCUUGACGAAUGGCCCUUAGCCUAUUUUCCUCAAUCAAGUUCAACUGAUCAUAUUGCGAUUGUAUCCAUUCAGGCUCAUCCAACUUUAUCUCUGACAAGACUCAAAGAGACGGUAUUUCUACUUCAAUGGGUAAUACUGCUUCCAUCCCAUAAACCAACGAGAAAGGAGUUGCCCCAGUAGAUGUUCUGACGGACGUCCGGUAGGCUAAGAGUGCGAAUGGUAAUUUCUCAUGCCAAUCUCGGUAGGUUUCAGUCAUCUUCCCCACUAUCCUCUUGACGUUCUUGUUAGCUGCUUCUACUGCCCCAUUCAUUUUUGGGCGAUACGGAGAAGAAUUAUGAUGCUUAAUCUUAACUGACUGCAAACUUCUGCUAUCGUUUUGUUGUUCAAGUUCAAUGUAUUGUCUGAUAUGAUCCUUUCAGGCAUCCCAUACCGACAAAUGAUCUCUUUCUUCAAGAAUCGACUCACAGCUGACUUAGUAACAUUCUCAUAAGAAGCAGCCUCUACCCACUUCAUGAAGUAAUCAAUGACCACAAAAAUAAAGCGAUGCCCAUUUGAAGCUUUUGGUGAUAUUGGCCCAAUGACAUCCAUGCCCCACAUGGAAAAAGGCCAUGGAGAAGUAAUAACAUGUAGAGGUGAAGGUGGUACAUGAAUCUUGUCUCCAUAAAUCUGACAUUUAUGGUAUUUCUUGGUGUAGUUGAUACAAUCCCCUUCCAUAGUAGACCAAUAAUAUCCAAACCUCAUGAUUUGUCUAGCCAUUGUGAAACCAUUAGCGUGCGUCCCACAAACACCCUCGUGAACUUCUUCCAAGAUUAACUUAGCUUUCACGACGUCAACACAUCUCAGCAGUACUUAGUCCUUUCUUCUUUUGUACAAGAUGUCCACAUCCAAAACGUAGUUGCAGGCUAAUCUCCUUAAAGUUCGCUUAUCAUUUUUAGUUGCCUAUUCUGGGUAUUUACGAUCUCUCACCUAUCGCAAUAUAUCCUGAUACCAAGGGUUAUCAUCUUUUUCUUCUUCCUCAAUGUUACAAUAGCGAGCUGGAGCCUCAAAGAUACUCAUCUAAAUGGGUCUCAUCUCCUCUUUUUUAUUCGCUUUAAUCAUUGAAGCCAAGGUCGCUAGAGCAUCUGCUAUCUGGUUUUCAUCUAGUGGGAUAUAAUUGAAAGUGAUGUCAUCGAACUCCUCAAGUAACCCCAAAACUACCUUUUGAUUAUUGAUCAAUUUAGAAUCCCUUGUCUCCCAUUCACCUCUAAGCUGGUAAAUUACCAACGCAGAGUCUCCAUAUACUUCCAAAGUUCUUAUUCCUCACUCUAUAGCUGCUCAGAGUCUCAUGAUGCACACUUCAUAUUCGGACAUAUUGUUUGUGCAAUCAAAAUCUAACUUGCACGUGAAUGGAUAAUGAUCACCAUUUGGGGAUACCAAGACUGCCCCGAUUCUAUUUUCCACUGCAUUGGAUGCGCCGUCAAAAUUCAGCUUCAAUGUACGUUCUUCAAUAGUUGCCACAUACAUCAAAUCCUCAUUAGGGAAAUCAAAGUUUAAUGGCUCAUAAUCUUCUAGAGCUCUACUUGCCAGAAAUUCUGCUCUCGCACUCCCUUUUAUAGCCUUUUGACUCACAUAAACUAUGUCAAAUUCUGAAAGCAAUAUUUGCCACCUUGCCAUUCUUCCAUUUAAUGCUGUUGACUCCAUCAUGUACUUUAAUGGAUCAAGUUUUGAAAUUAGCCAAGUCGUAUGAUAUAACAUAUAUUGCCUCAAUCUUCGAGUCGUCCAGAUUAAAGUACAACACAAUUUCUCAAUUGGUGAAUAUCUCAUCUCACACUCUGUGAAUUUCUUGCUGAGGUAGUAUAUUGCCCUCUCUUUUCUUCCUGACUUGUCAUGUUUGCCAAGCACACAUCCCAUAGAUUUACUAAACACUGAUAAGGACAUAAUUAAUGGUCUAUCUGGACUAGGCGGAGAUAACACUGAAGCAUUUAACAAGUAUUGCUUGACCUUAUCAAAAGCAUUCUGGCAUUCCUCAUCCCAAGUACCUUGGUUGUGUUUUCUAAGGAGGCGAAAUAUAGGAUCACAUUUUUCGGUUAAUUGUGAAAUAAAUCGAGCAAUAUAAUUCAAUCUUCCAAGAAAACCCUGAACUUCCUUUUAAGUACGUGGCAGAGGCAAUUCUCGUAUGGCUCUAACUUUGUCUGAGUCAACUUUUAUUCCUUUUUCGUUGACCACAAAGCCUAGUAAUUUCCCCGACCUAGCUCCAAAAAUGCAAUUUGCUGGAUUAAGUUUUAAUUGAAACUUCCGUAAUCUCAGAAAUAGCUUCCUCAAAACUUCAAUAUGUUCCUCCUCCGUUCGAGAUUUGGCAAUCAUAUCAUCAACAUACACCUUAAUUUCUUUGUGCAUCAUAUCAUGGAAUAAGGUCACCAUAGCCCUUUGGUAUGUUGCCCCGGCAUUCUUCAACCCAAAGGGCAUUACCUUGUAACAGAAUGUGCCCCACAAUGUUAUGAAGGUCGUUUUAUCCAUAUCUUUAGGAUGGAUCUUUAUUUGAUUGUACCCCGAGAAAUCAUCCAUAAAGGAGAACAACGAAUAUCCGGCUGUACUAUCUACCAAAUGUCAAUGUGUGGUAAAGGAAAGUUGUCCUUUGGGCUAGCUUUAUUCAGAUCUCUGUAAUCAAUACACAUUCGUACCUUCACAUCUUUCUUAGGAACAGGCACAAUGUUAGCCACCCAUUCUGAAUACUUAACCUCUUGUAAGAAUCCAGCAUCAAACUGUUUUUUGACUUCAUCUUUUAUUUUUAGCACAAUAUCAGGCCUCAUCCUCCGCAAUUUUUGUUGGACUGUCUUACAAUCUUGUCUUAUGGGGAGAUGAUGUACCACAAUAUCAGUAUUCAAACUUGGCAUAUCUUGAUAAGACCAUGCAAAGAUAUCCUUGAACUCACGCAAGAACUCAAUCAGUCCUUGCCUUGUGUCCUUGGCAAUACGCGUGCCGAUUUUCACCUCCUUCCCUUCCUCUAGGGCUAUAUUCUCUAUUGCCUCUUUCUCAUGGGGCAUGAUUUGUUUCUCUUCCUGUUUUACCAUCCUUAACAGAUCCGGAGACACAUCACAAUCCUGGACAUCUUCAAAAUCCUGAGAUUCCUCUAAACACAUGUCUUGCUCGCGAGAGAAAUCAGGAUUUGUAAUAUGAGUGCUCAUGUCAUUGAUAUCUAGGGACCUGUGAAGUAUAAAGAAUAUACAAAGAAUGAAUGAAUUUAAAAAUGAUUAUUUAUGUGCUAUGAAUGAAAGAAUAAGAAUUGCAAAAAUUUAACGGAAUAUUGGUUGAUAAAAAUGAAACAAUACUCGUUCAAAUUGAUAAAAGUUAUGUUUUAUUUAAAAAAAUAAUAGAUGAUUGUAAGCCCAUUCCACAAAUGUAAUCCUAUUACUCCUAGGCCCUAGAGUAACAAGAAUGUUCCGAGAAUUACUGUGAAAUAUUCCUAAAGACUACAGGAAGUUUCUCCGCAGUCCAAUUGUUCAGAGAGCUUCCCGGUUCGUAAGGGCGAAUGCCCUCAAGGUUUCCUUGCUCCAAUCCUUCAUCAUGUAUAGCAUUAAUCUGAUGACUUUCUUCUAUAAGUAACCCUCUUGAUAUAAAGACUUGGGAUAUUGGAGGGAAUGUCAUCGGCUCCCACUCCACUUCUCUUCCAUUAAAGCGCGCCCUUCUUCCCUCUUGGCACUUCUCAACUUCUUCAUCCUUUGCUUAUAAUCUGGCUUGAAGCCCAGACCAAAGCGAUCUUUCUUCUCUUUCAGUUCUGGGAUUUGAGUCCCUCAUUGCAGGUAUUUUCCUAACCCUCUUCCUGGUAAGUCUCCCUUUCCCACCAUCAUUUGUAGAGCCAUCCUCGUAGCUCUUGCUAUCUUUGGCACCUUUGGCUCACUCCCUUCUGAAAUGAAGGUUGCAUUCGCCAAUUCUAAAGAGUGAAAAGAACACUCAAUAGACUCUUCAUUCGUCUCGACAUAAGAGGCCUUGCUAGUGACUGCGACUAUAAUGUCCUCCUCCGUAUUAAUGGUUACUAACCGUCCAUCCGUCACUAACUUUAAUUUCUGGUGCAACGAUGAGGGCACUGCUCCCGCUGAAUGCAUCCAUGGCCUCCCUAAUAAGCAAUUGUAGGAGGGCUUGAUAUCCAUCACCAAGAAGUCUACUUCGUAUAUACUUGGCCCAAUUUCCAAGGGGAUGUCAAUUCUUCCCAUCACUUUCCUUUCUGUACCGUCGAAGGCUCUUACCAUAUUUUGACAUGUCUUCAUGUGAGAACUUUCAAUGGGUAAUCUAUUCAACGUAGCCAACGGUAGAACAUUCAAGGCCAAUCCAUUAUCGACGAGCACACUUGGAAGUGUGUACCCCUUGCAUCGAAUGGUAAUGUGCAAAGCCUUAGUUGACCCUCUGCCCCCUAGUGGGAUUUCAUCAUUAUUAAAGUAGAUGAAAUUAUCAGCACUUAUGUUAUUCACCAACCGGUCCAGUUUGUUAACGGAUAUGUCAUGAGUGACAUAUGUUUCGUUGAGCACAUUCAUCAAUGCAUCCCGAUGCAUCUCAGAAUUCAGAAGUAGAGCCAAUAUUGAUAUGCGAGCCGGCUGCCUACGCAACUGCUCAACCACACUAUACUCGCUAUGCUUAAAGAACUUUAGAAAUUCCUUAGCCUCCUCCUCCUUUACUGGCUCCUUGACAGGCACUUUGGCCUCUUUCUCCUUCUCUGCACUAACAUUAUUUAUUUUUGUGGGCUCCUCUCUAACGCCCACUGUAUCAUACUGCUUCCCACUCCGUGUAUGGGAACCCUCAACUUGUACAUCUUUAGACGUGCUGGCUAUAUUCUCCUCCUCCGGCACUGUCACACUGCAGUCAUUGCUCCAUGGUACCCUCUUGCUAUCCUUAUAAGGGAAAGGCGUAGGCUUAUGGAUAAUGACCUUAGGCUCCAUUUGUGCCCCCACUUCAUUAUUCCCCAGCAGGGAAAUAAUAAUCCUUGGCCGACUAUCUCCUUUCUGUUUAUCCUCCAGCACACAUACUUGUUUUUCACAAGACCUACCUUCAAAAAUUUGUAGUUCUUUGUUGUCUAUAAAGCCUUGCACCAAGGCCUUGAAUUCUUCACAAUCUUGAACUUCAUGUCCUUUUUUCUCAUGGAACUCACCAUAGUUCAUUGUUUCUCUUCUCUCGUUUUUAGAGGUUAACAUACCUCUCUUCAUCAUCUCCUCCUAAAUCACCUUCAUAGGUAUCCUCACCUCAGCAACAUCUUCCUUCAUUCUUCUCUCACUGGCUUCGCUAAUGGCAUUCACUCCUUGAUCGCUAUGAUUUGACAAUGGGUUUUCAGGAUUAGGGGUAUUGUCGAACUUCACUACCCCCAUCUUAAUAAGCCUCUCUAUGGCCUUCUUAAAACCGGUAUAGUUUUCGAUCGAAUGCUACGGUAUUCCAGCAUGAUAUUCGCAUCUGGCGUUUGCGUCAUACCAUUUGGGAUAUAGGGGCUGCAAUGGUUUCAAGUGAAAAGGAGAAAUAGCAUGUGCAUCGUAUAAGCUUUGAUAAAGCUCACGAUACGUCAUAGGGAUAGGUGUGAACUACAUCCUUUCAGAAUUCUACCUUGUAUACGAUUCCUGCCUUUGAGAACUCUGUUGCUCAACCGCAGCUGUUUUAGGUUGACCAACUGUGAUUGCCUUCGUGUUGAAGGUGCUUGUGUUAUUCACUUCACUAUCCUUUCUCCUUGGAGCCGAUCUUUUGGUCGCUUCCCCCUCGAUUUUGCCAUCCCUUAUGGCAUUCUCGAUCAUCUCUCCCACCAUGACUAUAUCCGCGAAGCUUUUAGUGGUGCUCCCAAUCAUGUGAGCGAUGAAUGGAGCCUUUAGAGUGUUGAUGAACAACAUGGUAGUCUCCUUUUCCAACAACGGUGGUUGAACUUGUAUUGCCACCUUUCUCCAUCUCUGUGCAUAUUGCCUAAAAUUUUCAUUAGGCUUUUUCUCCAUGUUUUGCAACGUGAUCCUAUUCGGAGUCAUGUCAGUCACAUGAUUGUAUUGCUGCAUAAAGGCUUGUGUAAGAUCCCUCUAUGAACUUAUUCUGGCCCGGCUCAGUUGAUUAUACCACUUGGCUGCUGCUCCAAUUAAACUAUCUUGGAAACAGUGGAUCAACAGUUGAUCAUUAUUCACGUACCCAGUCGUCCUCCUACAGAACAUCUUAAUGUGGGCUUCUGGGCAAGUAGUCCCAUUGUACUUCUCAAAUUCUGGCAUCUUGAAUUUGUGAAGAAGCACCAAGUUUGGGACCAAGCUUAGAUCUUUGGCAUCAACUCUAUAAUGCCCAUCAGCAUUCUCUAAAGCCUUGAAUUUUUACUCCAACCAUUUGCAGCGUUCUUCUAACUGUCUUGCAGCCUCAAUUCUAAAAUCCUCUUUUUCAGCCAUGUCUAAGUCAAGAAUGAUAGGAUUUGCAGGAUUGUCGCCCAAAUUAAAUCCUGAACCAGUUGGGAAAUUUAUAGGGAUCCCAGCAUCGACUGACCCUUGUUGAGGCCUUAUAGUGACAGACGGCCUCCUAUGAAGUACCUUGGUUGGUGCAAGCACAUGGGGUGGGGUGAAACCUGGAGGAUGAUCCUCACCAUCCUCGCCAGUAAUUGUCAUGGGAGCCUUUCCCUUAUCAGUGGCCCUCAGUAGUUGAGCCAUCUCAGCCAUCAUGUUCCUUUGAGCCUCCAACAUUUGCUCCCUCAUGUCAUUUUGCAUUUUUUCCAAUUGCUCUUGCAAUUGGUCCUACAUGUCCUUCUAUAGCUGUUCAAAUCUUUGGUCCAUAUUUUUUGACUUAACGCGCGUACCGUAGGGAUGUGUUGCUUCCAGAUUUUCUUUCUCUUACUCUCUUUCUCCCUUUUAAUUUUAACUAAUUAUGGUCUUUCUAUAAACUUGAAUGCAUAUGAUGUGAUGAGAUGCAAAUGCAUGAAUGUAAAAAAUGUCGAUUUUGGUUCAGUUUCAUUUUAGAAAAUGUUAUUUAAGGAACAAGAAUCUUUUCAUAAAACAGAUUACAAAUACGCUUUCGCCCGUAGGCCUAGAGUCUUAACCCUAUCUAAUAACAAUGCUAACUCUCGUCCUCUGUCUGACGACGACUCAUACAUUAUACUCAGCGUUCUAGCUUGUACCGCCAAAUCCUGCAAGUGUUCAAUAACCUCUCGAAUCUGAACUAAAGCUUCUCCCAUGAGAUAAUCCCUAUUUCCAACUUGAUCCAGAAGAUGGCGAAGUUCUCCCUUCCACUGUACUUCUCUUGCCCCGAGCUGCUCAAUCCGUAGCUCACAAUCCUGUAGUGCUGCUUCCAACCCUCCAAUAUCGUGUUUCAUUUCCUCGAUCUUAUUCAAGCUUGCCUUUAACUCGAUCGCAGAGUUACGACUUCGGUGAUGAUGAAGAGAUCGUCCAAGUUCGGCCACCUUAGUUUUUAAUCCUUGAUUUUCUUUCUCUAGGGCCUGAUUACGCGACUGCAUCUCUUAGAACUUCUUCUCCCAAUACUCGACCUUGGCUAUUUCUUCCUGAAUCUUUUGCUGCCACUGCUCUGAAGAUCUCCCUAAUCCGUCCCUUUUCAACGUUACCUGAGCCUUCUUGUAGUGCGUCUUUAAAUCAUCUCGAUCUUCCUCGAUCUUUCUCUUUUCCUUUUUCACCUUCUCGACUUCCAUCUUUUGAACAUCGAUGUUGACACUCAAGCUCAUUUUUUCUUCUUUGAGCUUUUCAAUCCUCUUUUCAAGCUCUGAAUUUUUUCUCUCGAACUCUUGCUUCAUAACCUCCAACUCUGAUGGAAUCACUCGUAAGCUCUCCUCUAAUGACCGGGCCACCCCCAAAAUCGGCCUAGGGAUAUUAUCGUUAACUCUCCUACUAAACCACCCUUUAUACUCAAGGGAUGACGUCGAGCCUUCGGUCAAGAUCUUCAUAAAGAAAGGCUUCUUCCAAGCCUCAAAAAUCUCUCGCAUCCUCCUCUUAUAGUGAUCUCCCUUAUAAGAGAAAUCACUCUGAGCUAAACCCUGUGUAGCCGGUAUGAACUUCUUCGCUAGAUAUUGCCUUAGAACAAGUAAUGGUACAUAUCCAACCACUCCCCAAAUUCCUGGCAAAGGGACCCAAUCAAAACUGCCACAGCGGUAAAGUAUUUCAUUAGGAACCAACCAAGGAGCCUUCCACAUAACAUCUUCCUCUCGAAGAUUCUGAAGAAUGUCUAUCCACCUCUCCUUCGAAAUUUCAUCUCUCCUAGGCAUUUCUAGUGCUUCCUUUAAGGGAGAAUAACCCUCAAAGAAUACUCGGCAAGGAACCUUAUUAAGCUUCCAGAAGUGGCUAUGGAGCCAGACUAGCAACAAUUGCGCACAUCCAAUAAAUCUACCCUCGCUGGCCCUCUGACAUGCACUCAAAGAUCUAAGUGUCUCAGCUAGGAUUGCUGGUACCGGUGUAUUCUGCUUACCGACACGAUUGUACAAAUCUACCACUGUCUCAUCUAUGUGCCCCAACGGCUUUAGGAAAAUCACCAUGCCGUAAAUACUCAAAGCUAGGACGUCAACCCUUUUCUUUAUGUUUGGAUGUAUCGAUAUCAAAUCCCUCAAAACAGCCCAUAAAACGCACUUACUAUCACAUUUUUGCUGUACACGAGCUACAGCCCACUGCUCACUCAUCCCAAUAAUCAUCACCAACUUCUUUGCAAAAGUUGGAAGACUAGCAGGCCUAACAUAAGCCUUGUGACCCUGAAUCCUCGGGCAACGCAGUAAAGUCGUAUACUCCUCCAAAGUAGGUACAAGAUCAACAUCACCAAAUGUAAAGCAACUAUAAGCAGGGUUCCAGAAUUGUACCAUAGCUCGAAACAAGUGCCUAUCUACUUUGACGUCUAGCAAAUAGGGAAGGUCUCCAUAAUUCUGAUAGAAAAGCUGCUUAGCCUCGUCAUCCCAUUGGGCCCAAAUGUCUCUCAACUCCUGAAACUCAUUCUGCGUCGAACUAAUACGGGUGAAGUCCCAUAACUCUAACGUAUGCCCCUCAGUGACACUGUCUCCUUUCUCUAACUGGGUUUUCUCUGACCAGGUACAGACAGAGGAUUGUCCUCCACUUUAUUAAGAUAUUCGUUCCCCAUUACAAAACUUUCUAACUGAGAAAUCGAACCGUGAAUCGAUAUCUUUUGCAUGACAUGCAAUGAUAGCAAAAUAAAAUAGGUCAGUAUCAUAUAUAAGAAAUGAUAAACAAGUACUUACAAGGGUAACUUACUAAAGGCUAUCACUAUUUUCCCUAGGGUAAGCACUUAAGGUUCACUAUAUGAGUUUCAGUUCUAAAGCGAGGGUACCUGAACCAGCAGAUUCCUCGGUCCUCACCCAUUAUAGGCUCAUAUAGACCAAGUUCAGCUCAGGGGAACACAUUUCCCUAUGGCCAUGCGGAGAUGAAAAUCUCACGAAGACAUAGGUACAGUAUCUCGGAAGCAAUCCACUAACUCAUGCGGAGGUGAAAACCUCACGAAAGCUUAGUUUCUUACUCCCACUUAAAGGUGUGACCAACGGUCAUGAAAAUGCAAUGUGCGAAAUCAACAUAUGCAACAUACACUUGUAAAAUGAUCAAUCUUUUAAAAUUUUCCAAAUUUUUGACAUUAAGACACAAAAACUCAAUUUCUUGGCUUGACUCUCUUAUAAGUCCCUAGUGGAGUCGCCAAGCUGUCGAAACCUCUUUUGAAAUUGGGGAGGGUAUUUUGAAAACGAGAGUCGCCACCAACCUUUUAAAGUGUGAUUGGAUCAUUUUAUAAAACGUUUUGGUCUACGAAAUUACGAGAAAAUAGGUUCAGGAAUCAGUUACGCACGAGGAAGGAUUAGCACCCUCGUAACGCCCAAAAUUGGUACCAAAUUGAAUAAUUUUGUCUUAAUGUCAAAAGUUUAAAAGAAUUUAGAAAUAAGAUCUCUUUAAAACUGUAAUAAUUUGAAUUAGAAUAGAAUCAAGAUUCUGUGGCUUCGAAAGAAUAUAAACAUCAUAUCCAGCAUGAUUGGACAUGAUAUUUUUAACUUUUGUAACUAAAAUCAUCUUGUAAUUUUCAAAACUUAUUUAGAAUGAUAUUUUAGGUAUUUAGACAAAUAGGAAAUCGCAACCCAGCAUGUUAGGGCACUACCUCCAGAAUUCCUAAAUACCAAAAACAUUGCCUUAUUUUUUUAAAAAAUCUUUUGGAUCGAAUGAAAUAUAAAAGUUCUUUUAAAGUGAUGAUGCAUUUGUCAUAUUACAAAGGAUCAAUAUUAACCUACAUGAUACUUAUUUUAACAUUUCAUGCAAAUAUUAGAAAGAUGAAUAAUGGCAUAAAUUACACAAUAUACGUUAUUAUCUUAUGCAUAUAUGAUCAUAAAUAACAUAAAUGUACAUGCAUUAUCGUUACAUGCAAAAUACAACGUAGAACAUAAUGAAUACAACAAAUAUAAAUUACAAUAUAUAUGAUGAUAUUUUAUGCAAAUGUAACUUAAAUUAACAUAAAUAAUUAAUUUCAUGCGAAUAUAUAAAAACAAUAACAUAAAAUAACAAAUAAUCUAUGAAAAUUUAACCUACUAAAACAAUAUCAAAAUAAAAGAAAAAAAAAGCAAAUUAUAAACAUAUAAAAUAUAAAUCAAAUGGAAUAAAAAUACAGAUAUUUAAAAAUAUUUAAAAUAAUAUAAGAAUGAUAAAGGAGAACCCUUUUUUUUUAAAAAGAAAAUGAUUAAUAUAUAAAUCAUGUUACAGAAUAUAAUAACUUAAUAUAUAUUAAAAAAAUAAUGUACUAAAUAGUAAUAUUGCACAUAUUUAUUUAAUAAAAAAACAUCUGUAGUUAAUGAGUAAUAAAAUAAUGUAUAUUUUAUAAUAAAAAUAAAAGUAAUGUAAGGAAUAAUAUAUGGUAAAAUAUAUAGCAUAUAAUAAAAUUUAUAAACAAAGUAUAUAAUAAUAUAACCAUAUGAUAAGUAAUAUAUAAAAAAUAUAUAUAUAUAAAAUGUAUAUAAUAUAAUAUAUAAUAAAAGGAAGAUAUUAUAAGGAAUAAUAUAUAAGAAAAUAUAAUAUGUAAUAAUAUAUAAAUAAAAUAUAACGAAAUAUAAAUACUAUCAUAUAAGUGAGGAUAAUAUAUAUACUAUUAUUUAAUAAUAUUUUUUUAAAGAUUUAAAAUUUACACAAUUAAUGAAUAAUAAUACAUAAUUUAUAAAUAAAUAUAAAAUUGAAAAAGGAAAAAAUGUAAGAAAUAAUAUAUAUAGUAAAAUAUAAUGUAUGAUAUAAUUUAUAAAUAAAAUUUAUAAUAAUAAAAAUAAUAUAAUGGAUAAUAUAUAUAAUAAAAAUAAUAUGUUAUUUUAUAUAACUAAUAUUUAUAAAAAUAAUAAUAUAUAAAGUAUAUAAUAAAUAAAUUAUGCAAAAAAUAUUUAAAAGGAUUGAAAUUAAAUAAAACUAAAGUUCUAGGGCUGAUUUUAAAAUAAAAAAAAAGUGCAGGCCUAAUUGGAACGCGUUCAACACUACAAGGGACUCACUAGGCAAUUUUCCCUAAUCCCAAAACGACGUCGUUCUUCAGAAUGAAUUUUAAUGGCCGUUAGGAUUAAAUUGAAACAAAUAUAAAAGAUUAGGGCCGAAUUAAAAUAAAAAUAAAAUGAAAUUAUAAAGAUUAAAAAUGAGGAAGGACCAAUUGGGAGAUUAUCCCUUUUCCCAAAACAUGCGGAUCCUCCCCGGGUCUCGGGUCAACGCGCGGAUCCCAGCUUAAACGAUGCCGUUUUGGUACUUAUCAGAUUAAGUAAAACGACACCGUUUUAAUUACACUAUUUAAGUCAAUUUUCGGCCCAAAAAUUCAUUUUAGGAAACUGUUUUAAAAAAAAAAUUUGAAAACUCUCUGAAAGAGAGGAGAGGGCAGUCCUCCGGGCUCCGGUCUCCGUCGGGCCAAGCCCCGGUCAUCGGACUCACGCGCCCAUGCGCUGUCACCGACUUCGCCGUAUACGACUGCCGGAAGUUGAAAAACUUCCAUUUUUGUGCACAUUCAACGGUAAACGCUCCUUUCUUUUAUUUCUAUAACAUUUGUAUAUGUUUGCAAGAAGAACAGGUAAAGAACUAAUCACCUUUUGUUUUCGUCGAUAAACUGUUGUAUAUAUUUGUAUUUCUUUUUUUCUCCAAAAAAAAACCCUACAUCGUUUCUACAUCGUUUUAAUUCGGGCUUUUUAUAGCCACUGUACAUAGUAUUUUACAUAUUUAAUGUUAUUUCCUGCCAUAUUUGUGUUGCCUCUGUCGUUCUUCUUUCCCCUUUUGCAGGUACCAGCGAGGAGAUUUAGCAAUGAACGAACGCUGACAACGGCACACCGGCGUUGAUUCGGGCGUCGACCACGGCAUGAUUCAAAGCCUGGAAUCAUGGCCUGGAACCACGGCAUUGAUAGUGGGUAACUGGAAUGACGCGAGACGAACAAACGCGUUGAUUGAAGUGUUUGCGGCGCCUAAGGUUUGUGAAACCCUAGGUCUUCCGUCCUUGGCUUACGAUUUGGGCCACUUGGGCUUCUCUGAGUUGGGUCAAGGGUGUAAUGGGUUAGUGGGUUUAGGUAUAACUGGGUGUGGGCUUAUUGGGUUGUAACCGGGCAUAGGGUCUUAGGCUAAAUGGGUCUUGUAUCAUCAGGCCUUUAGGCCCAUUUGUAAACUGGACAUUUCAACAUGGAGAUUUAUUUAUUUAAUUUACAAAUUUUGUUUAUUUCAUUAUACGGGCCCGGGCGAAUUUGGGCUGUUACAAAAUGAAUUGGUAAUAAAGCGGCAAUCCAGGAUCUAACUAACAUAGACUCUCUCCAGCAUUCCUUGACUCAGUUGUUAGGACUUAGGGGAAGAAUAAGGUGUUGCAACCAAACACAGAUCAUUUUUUCUUCUAACAACAGCCCCAAAAACCUCGUCCAUGUCAAGAUCUUCCAUCUUUACCCCACCAGCAAGUUUCCAGUCAAAAUGAUACAGCAAGUGUGCAAGAGGUAACUCUACAUUCACCAUUCCAUACAACAUACCAGGACACAUCCUUCUUCCAGCACCAAAUGGGAUAAAUUCAAAAUUAGCUCCUUUGUAGUCGAUUGGACUGUUGACAAAUCUCUCUGGAUAAAAUGUCUCAGCUUCACUCCAAUACUCCGUGUUCCUUGCAAUAGCCCAUGCAUUAAUGAUGACUCUGGACUUCACUGGAAUAUCAUAUCCAUUGAUUUUGCAUCCCUGUGAGCACUCUCUUGGAAGUAGCAAUGGAAGGGGAGGGUGCAAUCUCAAAGUUUCACUGAUGACAAGUUUCAAAUACUCUAAUUCAUGCAGCCCUCUACUAUCAACAUUCCCUUUCCUAUUGAAAACUUGCCUCACCUCUGCUUGAGCCUUCUUCAUAACUCUUGGGUUUUUCAGCAUUUCUGACAUUGCCCAUUCUAGCGUGGUGAAUGAUGUAUCACUUCCGGCAAUGAAAAGAUCCUGAAAUAGAUCAACCAUCAAUAAUUAAAUGGGAUUUAACUUACUCAUAUGAAGAUCACUACUCAAUAGACCAAUUUUUACAAUUCAACAUGUAAAAAGGCAUAUGGCAAAUGGACUUACUAACCAUGAUUACUGCUUUGAUGUUGUCAGUUGUUAAAGGAAAUUCAAGCUCUCCAUUCUCCUGAAGAUUCAAAAGAACAUAUACAAGAUCAUCUGCUUCACCCUCAACUCCCUUGCUAGCCUUAUGUUCAUUGAUGACACUUGCAAAAAUCUUAUCUAGUUUUUGGUGCAGUCUCUCAAGUUUAGGCCUUAAUCCAGUGAGGUACUCAAGAAAUUUGAGUGUAGGGAAUAAAUCUGCAACAUUGAAACCUGCACCUAACCGUAAAACAUCCCUGAAAAGUACUGUGAAUUCAUCUCUCUCUUUACAUUUCCCACCAAAAGCUGUCUUUAAAACAAUUUCGAAUGUGAGGAAAUAUAGCAUCUGACUAAGGUUGAUUGGUGAUCCUUCUUUUGAAGAGAUUGCUCUAACCAGCUUUGAUACCUCUUCUUCCCUGAUUGGAGUGAACGAUUGCACCCGUUUUAAACUUAACAUUUCCAGCACACAAAUUUUGCGAAGCUGUCUCCAAUAGUCUCCGUAGGGUGCAAAUGCAACAUCUGUUGCAUUGUAAGUUAAAAUGGUUGAAGUAAGUAGAGAAGGCCUACUCGCGAAAAUGAUGUCAUGGGUUCUCAUCACUUCUGCAGCAGUUUGUGGGCAAGAAACUAGGAUGGUUGGAAUUUCUCCAAGCUGAAGAUGCGUCAAGGAGCCAUAUCUCUUGGCCAUGUCUCUUAAUGUUUGAUGGGGUAGAGGGCCAGCAGCAAGGUGGUGCAAGCUCCCUAUGACAGGCAACUUCCAUGGCCCUGGUGGUAGAUUUAGAGUCUUACUGGAUCUGAGUCUCUUCCCUAGUCUCACCAGCAUCAACAAAAAGAUACUGAAGGUGAAGAGUAUUGGGAAGGAGAAGAAUUGGUGCUCCAUGAAUGUAAAUUUUUUAAGAGAGAGUUAUGACUUUUGUUGAUAAUGUUUCAUUUAUUGCAAGGCCAAGGGAAUCUUUUUUAGUUUAAGCCAAUUUAGCUCCGAAAAUGCCUUGAUAUAAAAUUAGUUUCAAUUUAGGCUGCUUCCAAAACCUUUGACCAAAUCUUGUCAGUCAGUUCGUGGAUCUAAGUGGUGGUGGUGGUUGUUAUUAUUUUGCUUGGUUGGGACCUGAAUAUAACCCCAAUGGAGUAUUGACCAAUAACCCAAAGAAACCACCAUACCAUAUAUGUGAAAUCGGUCAAACCAAACAGGCAUCAUAUUUAAUCUGUAUUGAAACGUAUGAGGUUUUUUUUCUUAUAUUUUAAAUGGUAGACGAAUAUGAGCGGCGCCACAAAGUGUUGAAUUCGAGCAUACUAUUUUUUCUUUAAUAAAAUUUAAAUCUCAAGCAUUUGUUAAUAUUGUUUUAAAUUUAAAUUUUAUUUUAUAAAGAAGGGUUAGUUUAGUAGUGCUUAUAAAUAAAUGUUUUUUAUUUUUGAAAUUUUUUAUUUUUCAAAAGCAUUAUUGAAAAAAAGAAGUUAAAAUUUUUAGUUUUUCUCUCCCAACAAUAUUUUUAGUGUUUAAUUAUUUUUUUCACCAUUCCAACAACAUAGUGCUUUCCCUUUUUUUUUCUUUCUUGGUGCUUAAUUAUAAAUGUAUUAAAAUUAUUAAUUAAAAAUAAAAAAUAUUUUUUAAAAUAAUACAAAUGUGUCAAUAUCUAAUUAAAAAUAUUUAAUGGUUUUAUUUAAAUAUUUAAAAUAUAAUUUAUAUAUUCUAAUUAAAUUUUAUAAAUAAUUAAUAUUUAUUUAUUAAAAAUAUUUAAAAUUUAUAUUUCAUAUAUUAAAAUAUUAACAACAAGUUAUAAUAAAUUAUUUUUAUAUUCUUACUUAAAUAUAAUAAUAUUAACUAAUUUGAACAUUAUUUAAAUGCACAUUUGUUACUUGAUAAUAUCAUGUCUAAAAUGAACAUUUUAUUUUUCAAAAGUACUUUUUGGCAACAAUGCUAAACACUCAAAUCUUAAACCAAACUUCUCAAAAACACUUUUCCAGAACACUUUUUUAAAACAUUUUUCAAAAGCAUUACUAAACCUCUCCAAUAUCCCUUUAUUUUCUUUUAUUCUCUUCUGUUUGUUAACAUUUGCUCAUCUUUCCCUUUGAAAUGAAUUGAAUAAAGUAUCUCAAUGGGAUUUAUAUAUUUAACCAUAUCAUUAUUACAUUAAAAUACUUCAUAUUUAGGGUAAAUUAUUAAAAUAAUCACUUUUGUUUGCCUCAAGUUAUAUUUUAGUCACUUAUUGUAACAUCUCGUUUUUAGUCAAAUCGGAACAGUGGUUUCGGGAUCACAAAUCCGAGAUUAAAAUAUUUAUUUUAUUAUUAUUUUAAUAUUUACAAUAUGAUAAAGUGUUUGUGUGAAAGUUUCUUUAGAAAUUUUAUCAUUUAAGUGCUUAAUUUGAUAAAAAGGACUAAAUCGCGUAACAUGCAAAAGUGCUGUUCUAUUAGUUAAAAGUAUCUAACAGCUAUAGAACCUUAAAGUAAAGGUUAUUAUGUUGUAAUUAUACCAUUAUUAGCUUGAGUGGACAAAUAUGGAAAAGUAUUAAAUGAUUUUUAAGCUAUAUAACUAAGGUUAAAUUUGUAAUUUAGUGAAUUAAUAAGUAAAAUAAUUAAGUAACUAAAGCUAUCAUCUUUCUUCUUCAAUAUUUUCACCGAAAAUUGAAAGCUUAAGAAGCCAUGGGAGAGUUUUACGGUUCGGCCACAUGCAAGCUUAAUUAUAAGUCCAUUUUUGUUCCGCUUUUAAUGAUUUCUAUAUUUUUGAGAUCGUUGCAGCUAGGUCUAGCUAGCCCAAGGACUAUUUGGCAAAACUGUUAAAGAUUUUGAAUGAUGCCAUUGAUGAAUACAUGUGUUCUUUGAUGUUUGAUAAUAGAUUAUGAAUGUUGGUUGUGAGUCAUAUAAGUUUUGUUAAGUGAUUUUUAGUGAAAAUGCAAAAUAGGGAUUAAAUUGUGAAAUGUUGAAACUUUGAGGUUAGAAUGUGAAAUAAAUGGAAAAUAUGGACUGUUAGGGACCUAAUUGAAAUUCAGAUAGCAUGGGUUUUGAUUGAAAGUGUGAAUUUGUGUUUUUAUGAAAUAAGGACUAAAUAGUAAAAGAUGUGAAACAUUAGGGGAAAUUGUGUAAAAUUGCCUUAAAGUGAAUUUUGAAUUAAAUUGAAUAGAGAGAUGAUUAAAUAAGUUGAUUUUGAUUACAUAUAGAUCAAGAAAAGUGAAAUACGAACUUAGAUUAGGGAAAGAACAAGGUUACGAAAUAGUUGACUUGUUUAGCCGUUUUUGUAUCUGAGGUAAGUUCGUAUGUUAUAAGUUUCAUUAUAAAUGUGUUUUAUAUGCUUUGAUAAUGCAUAAACUGUGAAUACGAGGCUAUGGAUAUGUUCGAUAGUGAUUCGAUGACAAAUUAGCAUUCGAAUUCCCGGUUGAACCUUAGGAAUAGAUUAGAAUUACUAGUGACAUGUCAUUAAGGGAUUCAUUGAUUUGGCUUUGGGCCAUGAUAUUGGCACUUCAGGUGCGAGCUUCAUUGAUUUGGCUUCGGGCCAUGAUAUUAGCACUUCAGGUGCAAGAUAUGUUGAGUUGGCUUCGGGUCAUGAUAUUGGCACUUAGUGUGCGAGACUCCUGAGUAUCCGGCUUCUAUUUCGAAUGGUUCAAUGGGUAUAUUGAAGAUGUGAAUUGAUGAGAAAUAGAUACGUAUCGGUACAGGUAUGUUUGGAAAACUAUUCGAACAAUGAGUUAAAGAAAGUUGAGAGCUUACUAUCAUUUAUAUGGUUAAAUUGUAUGUUAACUUGGUGAUUAAUGUUUAAAUUCAAGAUAUGUUAUUUAUUUUGAAAUGUAAAUGAAUGGUGAUAAUUAUUUCUUAUUUUCAUACGAGCUUACUAAGCUAUAAAUGUAAUAGUCUGAUUUUGGGUCUAGUCGGAACAAUAAUUUCGGGACCAUAAAUCUGACACAAAAAAAUUUAUUUUUAUUAUAUUUUUAUGGUCUACUGAUAAGUCGUAAUUUAUACAUAUUUUAUCCCAUGUUUAAGCACAUUUUUGGAUGAAUUAUCAUUAGAUUUUUGGAAUUUGAUGCUCCUAAUCCUUUAAUUUCAUGUUUUAUGCUUAGGUGAGCAUAGGAGAGUAAAAAGACCGAGAAACGGGCUAAAAACUGAGAAAAUGGGUCAACGUGGGAAAUCGACACGGCCUAGACUUCUUCACACUGGAAGACCACACGCCCGUGUCUAUUUAGCAGACUCUAACACGGCCUAAACCACCCCACACGGGUAUGUCCCUGUCGAACCCAAGUCUAGUUCUACUCGGAAAAGGCUACUUUAGAGGGUUCUUAGACAUUCUAAAGCCUAUAUAAACACCCUAGAGGAGGAUUAAAAGGAGAGACAGAGUAGGAGGCAAGGAAUUACUUGAAGAAAGUCGAUUGAUCCAUCUCAGAGGGUGGAUUCUUCUUCAAGACUGAAGAUCUCCCUUCAAUUUCCUUCAGGGCCGGGGUUUUUGGGAUUCUUUAUGUUUUGUUAUUAUGAUUCUUCUGAGAUGUUUUCUUUUACACAUAUGAACUAAAUCCCUUAAAUACCUAAAAGGGAUGAAACUUAAGACGGAUCUUGUUAUUAUUUUUUAAAUUAUAUGAUAAAUACUUGAUUUGUUCUUAAUUAUGUGUUCUUAAUUCUUGUUUUAAUAUUCUGGGAUAUUGAUUCAAGUAUUGAUGUGCUUAUUCAGAGGAGCAAAAGUCCCCGUCUAAGAGUAGAUCUAGUAUAAUUAAGCGGAGUUGAUUGCACUCCUAGAUAUAGGGAGACAUAAAUCUGCCGGAUUAAGGUCAAACCUAAUAAGGGAAUCCAUAGAUCGAGUUAAUGCAACACUAGAGGUUUUAAUUAGAAAGAGAUUUCAAUUAAUCAACCUAGGGUUAAACGUUGUUACUCUCAAGAGAGAUAAUAACAUAAAUUAGGGAUUUCUAUGGAUCGAGUCAAGUGAAUAAAUUGUCUAAUUCAGAGUCAAAUAACAAGUGAAGUCUAAGUGGAUUUUCCCUUUGGUAUUGUCCAAAUCAAUCAGUUUUCCUAAAAGUAUUUCCUCAAUUUACUUCCUGUGCAUUCUUAGCUUAGUUAAUUAGUUUAGAUAAAAAAAAUUCUCUUAUUUUUAGGCUAGAUAAUAAAAAGUAGGCUAAUACUAGUACUUUUAGUUCUUGUGGGUUCGACAUUCUGGUCUUGCUAUAAGCUAUACUACUGUUCGAUAGGUGUGCUUGCCUUUAUCGUGAUAAUAGUUAGUUUUCAAGCACGAUCAAUCAUAAAUAUAAGACUUAUCAUGCACAUCAAGUUUUUAGCACCGUUUCCGGGGAACUAAGAUAUUAGGAACGCUUAAUUUUUAUUACUUUAGCUAUUUAUUUUAUUGCAAUUUAAAUUCUAUUUUAACUUUACUAAAUUUACUUUAUUUUUUUUGGCAGGUUUUUAUAAUUUAUGACUAGAAGAAAUCCGUUAGGACCUUUACUUAUUUAUGGUGAGAUCGAAAGCACAGCUCGCAGAAAAUGAAGAGAAAUAAGGCGAAGCCUACGAUACAUAGAGGAAGGGCAAGAGGACGAUAGUCUAACUACAACCAAGGGAAUGACUGAAAAUCAGAAUAAUCAGCUACCUCUUGUGGUUGCCGCAAAUCUAAUAAAUCAGAAUCCUGCUCCUCGUACUAUGUAUGAUUAUGCUAAACCUAAUUUAACAGGAAUUGAAUCGAGUAUAGUUAGGCUUGCUAUUGCUGCAAAUAAUUUUGAAUUAAAACCUAAAACAAUUCAAAUGAUACAACAGUUUGUUCAGUUUGAUGGUUUGCAGGAUGAGAAUCCAAACACUGAUUUAGCGAAUUUUCUAGAACUUUGGGACACUUUUAAAAUCAAUAACGUUUCUGAUGAUGCCAUUCGCCUUCGGUUGUUUCCCUUUUCAUUGAGGAAUAAGGCUAAACAGUGGUUGAACUUGUUUCCACGAGGGUCAAUCACUACUUGAGAACAAAUGACCAAAAAAUUUUUACUUAAAUAUUUUCCGCCGGCUAAAACGGCUAAAUUGAGGAAUGAUAUCUCUUCUUUUGUGCAGAUGGAUCUAGAAACUCUUUAUGAUGCAUGGGAAAGAUACAAGGAUCUAUUGAGAAGGUGCCCUCACCAUGCGUUACCAUUUUGGUUACAGGUUCAAGCUUUUCAUAAUGGCCUGAAUCCUUCGACUAGACAGAUGAUUGACACAGCUGCCGGUGGGACUAUCAAUAAUAAGACACCUGAAGAGGCUUAUGAAUUUAUAGAAGAGAUGUCAUUGAAUAAUUAUCAAUGGCAAGUCAUGAGGAAAAAACGACGAAAAUGGCCGGCAUUUUUAACGUCUAUUUGGUCACUAUGCUCUCUAAUCAGGUAGAACUUUUGAAUAGAAAAAUUGAUGGUUUACUUGGUUCUUCACAGGCUCAUCCAGUAAUGCAGUAUGAUACAAAGGUAGGUGGAACAAGCAAUUCAGAAUACCCACCUUAUGGCCACAACAUGGAAAAAGAGCAAUUGAAUUAUAUGGGUAAUAAUCCUCGACCUCAAAAUAAUCCUUAUAGUAACACUUAUAAUGCAGGUUGGAGGAACCAUCCCAACUUCUCGUGGGGUGGCCAAGGAAAUCAAAGGCCACAACAUCCCCUAGGUUUUCAACAACCACCUUACAUGCAGGAAAAGAAAUCGACCCUUGAAGAGAUGUUAAUGAAAUUCAUCUCAGUGUCAGAAAAUUAUUUUCAGAAUACCGAAAUAGCACUUAAGAAUCAACAAGCGUCGAUCCAAGGGCUCUAAACUCAGAUAGGCCAGCUUGCUAAAUUGAUUUUAGAAAGACCAUCAGGAAGUCUACCUAGUAACAUCGAACCCAAUCCAAAAGAGCAUGUGAAAGCAUUUACACUAAGGAGUGGGAAAGUGUUGUUGAAUCUGAAAAGAAGCCACCACAAGAAGCUGACAGAAACGAAGGAUAGGAAGUAAAAACCGAAAAUAAUUACAAUCCAAUUCCAAAGGAAUAUAAACCACCAAUCCCAUAUCCAACAAAUUUGAAGAAAGACCGUAUGGAUGCACAAUUCAGUAAAUUUCUUGAACUUUUUAAGCAACUACAUAUUAACUUAUCUUUUGUUGAAGCUAUAUCGCAGAUGCCUACAUAUACAAAAUUUUUAAAGGAGCUUCUAACAAACAAAAGGAAAUUUGAAGACCUAUCUACAGUGGAACUUAAUGAGGAGUGCUCGGCCAUACUCCAAAAUAAACUACCAACCAAACUGAAAGAUCCAGGAAGUUUUACUAUUCCCUGCUUCAUUGGUAGUUUGAAUGUUGAUAAGGCACUAGCUAAUUUAGGCGCUAGCAUUAAUUUGAUGCCAUAUAAAAUGUUUAAACAACUUGGUCUUGGGGAACCUGUACCCAUUAGGAUGAGUAUUCAACUAGCUAAUAGAUCUGUUAAAUAUCCUCGGGGUAUUAUAGAGGACGUACUUGUAAAAGUAGAUAAAUUUAUAUUCCCUAUUCAUUUCGUUGUGCUUGACAUGGAUGAAGAUGUUGAAGUGCCCUUAAUCUUAGGUCGUCCAUUUUUAGCCACUGCUAGGGCUGUUAUUGAUGUGGGUGAUGGUAAAUUGGUACUUAGAGUAGGUGUUGAAGAGAUUAUUUUUAAAAUUUAUGAUGCCAUGAGAUUAUUUUAUUGACUCUAUUGAUCAUGCUACUCAAAAUUCUUUUUAGGAAAUCGUACAUAAGGACACAUUGGAACUGUGUGUUCCCCAAGGAGAGGAGAUAGAUGAUGAUGAUUCUGAGAUAGGUAAGAUAAAAGCUGAACUAAAUUCCAAUGAAUCCUUCCCAAGAUAAGCAGAAUAUGAGGGCAUUAAGGUAAACAAUGAACUUAAGCAAAAACCCUCUAUUGAAGAACCUCUCAAACUGGAACUUAAACAAUUGCCAAAUCACUUGGAAUACGCAUUUCUUGGAAAUAAUUCUACGUUACCAGUGAUCAUUGCUUCUUACUUGCAACCCAAGGAGAAAAAAGAAUUGCUCCAAGUAUUAAGAGAAAAUAAAAGAGCCAUAACUUGGAAAAUUUUUGACAUUAAAGUGAUUAGCCCUUUUUUUUACACCCACAAAAUUUUAAUGGAAGAUGAUUAUAAGCCAUGUGUGCAAGCUCAAAGACGACUGAACCCCAACAUGAAAGAAGUUGUUAAAGCUGAGAUAAUUAAACUCCUAGAUGCUGGAAUAAUUUAUCCUAUUUCUGACAGUUCUUGGGUAAGUCCAGUGCAGGUUGUUCCUAAGAAAGGAGGCAUGACAGUUGUAGCCAAUGAGAAGAAUGAAUUAAUCCCAACAAGGACAGUCAUAGGUUGGAAAAUUUGCAUUGACUAUAGGAAGCUGAAUGACGCUACAAGAAAAGAUCACUUCCCCCUUCCAUUCAUUGACCAAAUGUUGGAAAAAUUAUCCGGGCACAUGUACUACUGCUUUUUAGGACUCUCUGGGUAUUUUCAAAUUUCAAUAGCUCCUGAAGAUCAAGAAAAGACGACAUUCACAUGUCCAUGCAGUACGUUUGCUUAUCGUAGAAUGCCUUUUGGAUUGUGUAAUGCUCCUGCUACUUUUCAGCGCUGCAUGAUGGCCAUUUUUGACGAAUUCGUAGAAUACAUCAUGGAGGUAUUUAUGGAUGAUUUCUUGGUAUUCGGUAACUCUUUCCAUCUUUUCCUUAAAAAUUUGAAACGAGUUUUAAUAAGAUGUGAGGAAACGAACCUUGUACUGAACUAGGAAAAAUGUCACUUUAUGGUUCAAGAAGGUAUUGUGUUAGGUCAUAAAAUUUCUUGUAAAAGGAUUGACGUUGAUAAAUCUAAAAUUGAAACCAUUGAAAAACUACCUCCCCCUAAUUCAGUUAAGGCUAUUAGAGGCUUUUUAGGACAUACUGAGUUUUAUAGAAGAUUUAUUAACGACUUUUCUAAAAUAACUAAGCCUUUGACUAAAUUACUAGAAAAAGAUGUGCCUUUUAAUUUUGAUUAGGAAUGUUUAGAGGCAUUUAAUACUUUAAAGGAUAAAUUGAUUAAUGCUCCUGAUCGUGUGAUUUCGUGAUAGGUUUUAAAUAUUUAUAAUUAAUCGUUGUUGAAACUAACUAUUAUCGCGCUGUAGGCAAGCGUACCUAUCGAACAGUAGUAUAGUUUUAGCAAGACCGGAUUGUCGAACCCAAAGGAACUAAAAGUACUAGUAAUGACUGUCUUUUUAUAAUCCAGCCUAGGAAUAAAGAGGUUUUGUUUUAACUAACUAAUCAUCUAAACUAAGAACUCAUAGAGAAUAGAAUUGAGGAAUUGCUUUUGGAAAAAUCGAUUGAAUUAAGACAAUACCUAAGGAAAAAAUCCACCUAGACUGUACUUGUUAUUCUGGCUCUGAAUCAGACGAUUUAUUCAUUUAACUUGUCCCGUAGAGAUCCCUAAGUUAUGUUAUUAUCCCUAUUCAGGACUAAUAACGUCUAAUCCCUAGAUUGAAUAAUUGAGACUUUUCUCUAAUUAACACCUUAGGGUUGUAUUAACUCGAUCUAUGGAUCCCCUUAUUAGGUUUCACCCUAAUCCGGCAAAAUUUUGUCACCCUAUGUCUAGGCGCGCAAUCAACUCCGCUUAAUUAUGAUAAAUGUACUCUUAGACAGGUUCUAUUCCUCCUCUGAAUAAGAGCUUAUCUUGAAUCAGUAUCCUGGGAUAUCAAAACAAUAAUUAAGAACAAGUUAAAUAUUUAUCAUACAAUUCAGAAAAUAAUAACAAGAUUCAUCUUAGGUUUCAUUCCCGUUAGGUAUUUAGGGGUUUUAGUUCAUAACUAAAUAAGAAAAUAUCUCAGAAUAAUAAAGAAUACAAAACAUAAAGAAAACCCAAAACUCUUGAAAAGGAAAUUGAUGAGAGAUCUUCAGUCUUGAUGGUGAAUUCGGCUUCUGAGAUGGAUCAAUCGGCUUCCAUGGAGUAAUUCCUUACUCUCUAUUCUAUGCCCCCAUUUUCUUCUUCCUCUAGGGUGUAUUUUUUAGGCUUUGGAAUGCUUAAGAGCCCUUAAAAUUAGCCUUUUUCAAAUUGGACUCAACUUGGGCUCGGUAGGGACACGUCCGUGUAACACGCUCGUGUGCGAUUACUUCAGGCCGUGCUCAAGCUUGUCAAAUUGACACGACCGUGUGGUCUGCCCAUGUAAAGAGGUCCAGGCCGUGUUGAUUUCGUACUUUGGCCCAUUUUCUCCGGUUUUGGCCCGUUUCUCAUUCCUUUCACUCUCUUAUGCUCUCUUAAGUAUAAAACAUGAAAUUAAAGCAUUAGGAGCAUCGAAUUCACCAAUUCUAAUAGGAAAUCAUCCAUAAAUGUGUUAAACAUGGGGUAAAAAUAUGUAUAAAUUACGGUUUAUCAAAUACCCCACACUUAAGCAUUUGCUUGUCCUCAAGUAAAAUUCUCAAUUCAUAAUCAAAAUAAAUUCUUCUCAACUUAUAAUUUCUAUUGAUAAUAUCUCAAAAUCAUUCAUAGGUAAUCAUACAUUGAGAAUUCAACUAAAAAAAACAUAAAAGUUUCAAACAUUCCAAGUUGAGCAUUUUCUCCUGAAAACAUAGGUGUCCCUCUUCAUUUAAGUAAUUACCUUUGAUUCAGAAUAUCACAAAGUUUCACAUCCUCACUAAAGAUUCACUCAAAUCACUCGAGGUGUUUUAAGGACAAUAAAUGAAGCACUCAAUAGUCAAUAAUGAAAAGUCAUUAACAUAAGCUUGUAUGAAAAUCAAAUCUCCACCACUGAUAAAUUAAGAUGAAACAUCAAUCAAAAGGUCUUUAGAGGGUUGUAAUGAGGCUUGGUUAGGGGGUGUCAAAGAAAGAGUUAGAAUCGAGAUUGAAUUCAAAAAUUUCCUAACUAGAAAAAGAGUUAAUCAUCACUUGUGUACAACAAAGCUUCUUCUCAGAAUAUGGAAUUACUAAUGUGUAUACAUAGUUGUUGUUGUUGUUUUUUUUUUUUAGGAACAAGUUAAAUAACAUAGACUAACUUAUUACAAACAAGACAUAGCUAAGCAAUUUACUCAACUUAAAUCUCGACAAAAAUAUGGAUCAAAUUAAUUUAGGGGAUUUCAACAAUAAUGGGUUAAGGGUUAAUAUUAAGGGUAAUACAAUAAAUGGCUUGUUAGGCUCAAAGGGGUUUACUAGGGGUUAAUCGUGGAGGUAGGCUUUUCAUGACAUGAGUGGGUUAAUCCUAAGUGCCUUAAUCAUUUUGACAUAUCAAAUCAAAUGGUGUGGUCUCGACAUGCUUAAUCAAGCAAGUUCUAUAAUAAUAGUUCAAUACUGACGCACUCAAAGCAAUAAUAAAAGUGAACAUGAAAGAAUUAAUAGAUGCUCAAAAGGCUAAAAAAUCUCAAAAAAAUUAUAGCUUUUUGAUGUUUAAAACUUGUGAAUUCCAACUCAAAGUAAUACCUAAACUUUGGGGAAACAACCUAAGAUUUUAAAUUCUUAAAAUUCGACUUAUCAUGCUUGAUUCUCUAAUGUCUUAAAGUUUAAACAAUCAAUGCAUAAAUUCCUAUGUUUUAAUUCAAGAUAUAUCAACAAAAAUAAAAAAUCAAUCAAAAUUUAUCCUAAAUAUGAUAUGAGAGAUUUUCAAGAGAACAAAGUAGUCAUUCAGGGAUUUUUCUGAUAAUGAAAUAAAUACCCCCCACACUUAAGAUGUACAUUGCCCUCAAUGUACAAAGAUAGAUAUUAGAAUAUAAAAAUAAGAUAGGGAGAGAAGUGAAACUUCUUGAAUUAAGAAUGGAUGAUAUUCUUGGAUUAGCGAGAUCGAGUAUUGGAAAUAAAGCUGGAGGGCAAGCAUGAUUUUGAAUGAUAAAAGAAGAGUUAAGGGAAUAAUCUGAUAGUAGUGAUAAAGAUAAGCCGUGUUUUUAAAAAAAACAAAUGAAUCUUAAAAACGUAAUAAAAGAAAAAUAAUAAAAAAAAGAUAAAAUAAGAUAAAUAAUCGAAUUUUUCAAGUGGCACGGUCGGUGCACACGCCCGUGUGGAUCAUGUCUCAUCCAUGUUCAUCGUGAAUUAAGAUGUCUUCACACGGCCUUCUGGCACGCCCGUGUGUCUAGGCCGUGUGGAUACAUGAUCGUGUCGCACGGCUGUAUCUGGCGCGGUUCGCUUCUCCCACAGUCGUGUAUUCAGACCUACGCCCGUGUCAAUCUAACAGGUUUGAACAGAGAUGCUAGACACGGGCAUGUCGCAUGCCCGUACUAUUUUAAUAGAUUUACCCACGGUUCUUUCACACGGGUGUGUCUUACCCCCGUGUAGUUUUGGCAGGUUCAACAACAGCCAUGUCGCACGGCCGUGGAAUUUUAUCGUAGCCCAUGUUUGGGAAAAAUUGUUGUCCUGUUUUCACACGACCCUAAGCACGCCAGUGCUCUUGGCUGUGUCUCUGUGGAAAACCUGUAUUCAAGCGCUCCGUUAGUAAGUUAGAUGUUGAACACUAAAUUUUAAGGAAGUUAAUACAGUUAGUGCUCGGGUUACCUCCUGAGAAGCACUUAUUUAUAGUCUAAGCUCGACUUACCUCUCUGUUGAAUGAUCAUGGUGGUUUAAGGAGUUUAUACUCCUCAUUCCUCCUAUUAAUCUCAUCAAAAUAAGGUUUUAAAUGGGUGUUGUUUACCUUAAAACUACCGAACUUGGGAUGACUCAUCUCUACCGUACUGAAUGGGAAAAUGCUGAGUGCCGUAAGAGGGAUUUCUUCAUUCGAUUUGGUAGCGACAAUGUGGGGAUCUGUGGCAUCUAACAAGACUCUAUCUCCAACCUUAAGUUGAUUUAAAAAGGGAUUGAGCUUGUUCUGUCGUAGAUUCGGUUUGUCAGGUGUUCUCGUUUAUGCGUCCGCCAUUCAUCUAGCUCCUUGAUUUGUAGCUUUCGAUCUUCAUGAAUGGGUCCUCUACUAUUGCUUAAGAAUGACUCAUGUGCUUCCUUCAGACUUAUUUCCUGCAAAGUAGGUUGCACCAUAUUGUCAGUUUUCGUAGAAUGGUCUAGAUGAUCACCUUCAAUUUCCAUUGUGUUGCCAGAAUUGCGAGCUUGAAGGGUGAUUGUUUCUUCUCCCACACAGAGUGUGAGUUCACCUGUGCCAACAUCAAUAAUUGUUUUAGCAGUUGCUAAAAAGGGCCUUCUUAGAAUUAAAGGAGUGUUGCUAUCCUCCUCUAUGUCUAGAACAAUGAAGUCAACGGGAAAUAUAAAUUUAUCGAUUUUAACUAAAACAUCUUCAAUAAUACCCCUAGGAAAUCUUAUAGUUUUAUCUGCUAAUUGAAUGCUCAUCCUAGUCUGUUUGGGUUUCCUGAGACCUAAUUGUUUGAACAUUUUGUAAGGCAUGACGUUAAUACUAGCCCCCAAAUUAGCUAAUGCAUUAUUAACAUCUAAACUACCAAUUAAGCAAGGAAUUGUAAAACUCCCUGGAUCUUUAAGUUUGUUGGGUAGUUUAUUCUGGAGAAUAGUUAAGCAAACUGCAUUUAGCUUCACAUGCGAUGCCUCGUCCAUCUUCCGCUUAUUUGCUAAAAGCUCCUUUAAAAAUUUCAUUGCGUUUGGCAUCUAUGAUAGAGCUUCAAUAAACGGUAAGUUAAUAUGUAAUUUUUUUAAGAGUUUAAGGAAUUUACCAAAUUGUUCAUCUGAGCGGUCUUUCCUUGUCGCGUUGGGGUAUGGCACAUGAGGUUUAUAUUCGACAUUCACCGAUAUAUUUUUAUUGUGAUCUACCUCACCUUGACCUUUGCUUACCACAGUUUCUUGCCUUGGUUCUGGCGUAGGCUCAACAAAUCCUUCUUCAUCUUGAACGUUAAUCGCGUUGAGCUGUUUCCUUGGGUUAGGUUCAGUAUUACUUACCAAGCUCCCUUGUGGUCGUUCGGAGAUUAGUUUGGAAAUCUGGCAUAUCUGAGUUUCGAGCCCUUAGAUCGAUGCUUGUUGAUUAUUAAGUGCUGUCUCGGUGUUCUAGAAACAGGUUUCUGACACCGAGAUAAACUUUGUGAGCAUCUCUUCAAGGUUUGGCUUCUUUUCCUGUUUGUAGGGCGGUUGUUGGUAGCCUGAAGGUGGUUGUGGUCUUUGAUUUCCUUAACUGCUAAUAAACACCAAAUUAUACAUAUUUUUACCCCAAAUACUUAGCAUAUUUAUGGAUGUUUAUUACUAGAUUUAUGGAUUUUGGUGCUCUUAAUCCGGUUAUUUCAUAUUUUGUACUCAGGAGAGCACCAAGAGUCAAAAGGAGCCAAAAACGAGCCAAAAAGGGACAAAAUGGACCAGAUCGAGAAGAUGACACGGCCUAAGCCUUGCCACAUGGGUAGCUUACACGCCCGUGUCUUUCGAGGGUGUCGACCAAAGCUUUCACGAUUCACACAGCCUGGCCAUUGACCCACACGGCCGUGUACAAUUUAACGGAUCGAACAUGGCCUGGCAAUCACGUCACACGGUCGUGGCACACGGGCGUGUCCCUUUUUCAAAGAGUUGUAUUUUACAUGGAAAAGGAUACUUAGGGAGGAAGAAAGCCAAUCCAGAGCCAAUAUAAACACCCUAAGUAUGACUUAGAAAGGGGCCGCUCUCUCCAGAACUUUUCUAGAGUAUAGAACCGCACGCCGGGAAUUACUUGAAGAAAGCCAGACGAUCCAUCCCAAAAGCUGGAGCUACUCCAAAACUAAAGAUCUCUCUCAGAAUUCCUUCAGGGGUUUUAGAGUUUUCUUUAUGUUAUGUUUUUUUUUAUUUUCAUACUUUUGAGAUGUACUCUUAUUUUAUUAUGGAUUAAACCCCUUAGAUACCUAAGGUGGUUGAAACCUAUGAUGAAUCUUGUUAUUAUUAUCUGAACUGUAUGAUAAUAACUUGAUUUUUUCUUAAUUAUGUGUUUUUAAUGCUUGAAAUAAUAUUUCGGGUAUUAAUUCAUGCUUUGAUGUGCUUAUGCAGAGGAGCAAAAUUCCCUGUCUAAGAGUAGAUUUGGCAUAAUUAAGCGGAGUUGAUUGAACGCCUAGAAAUAGGGUUACGAGAUUUUGCCGGAUUAGGGUGAAACCUAAUAUGGGAGUUUAUAGAUCGAUUUACUGCUUCCCUAAGUGUUUUAAGUAAGAAAGAGAUUUCGAUUUAUUCAACUGAGGGUUAGGCAUUAUUAGUCUCGAAAGAGAUAAUAAUAUAGGUUAGGGAGUCUCAGGGAUCAAGUGAAGCGAAUAAAUCGUCUGGUUCAGAGUCAGAUAACAAGUGAAAUCUAGGUGGAUUCCUCCUUAGGUGUCGUUUUUAUCAAUUACUUUUCUUCAAGCCUUUUUCCAAAUUUUCUCUUUGCUUUAGUUUAAUUAGUUAAUUAGUUUAAUUAACAACCCCUCCUUAUUUCUAGGUUAAAUAAUAAAAAGAUAGUUAUUACUAGUACUUUUGGUUCCCUUGGGUACGAUAUCCCGGUCUUGCCAUUACUAUACUAUUGUUCGAUAGGUGUGCUUGCCUUUUCAUCGUGAUAAUAGUUAGUUUAGGUUUAAUCUUUAUUAUAAAUAUUUAUUACUUGUUACGAAUCACGCGAUCAAGUUUUUGGCACCGAUGCUGGGGAACUAGAAUAUUAGGAACGUUCAAUUUUUAUUACUUUAGCCAUUUAUUUUUCUUGCAAUUUAAUUUAAUUUAAUUAUUUUUAUUAUUUCUUAAUUUACUUUUUCUUUCUCUUGGCAGGUUUUUAUAGUUUAUGACUUGAAGAAACCGGUCAGAACCUUUACUUUUGGACAAAGAAAUCGAUUGUACAGUUCGUAGAAACCAAAGAGAAACAAGGCACAACUUAAGAUACACAGAGAACGAGUAGGAAGACAAUACUCAACCCCCAACCGAAGAGAUGGCUAAAAACUAAGGCAAUCAGCUACCUCCUGCAAUUGCGGCUAAUCAAAAUCCUGCUCCACGCACCAUGUAUGAUUAUGCUAAACCUUCUUUAACAAGAACUGAGUCUAGCAUAGUUAGACCGGCUGUAGCUGCAAAUACUUUUGAACUGAAACCUAACACAAUUCAAAUGAUACAACAGUUUGUUCAGUUAGAUGGUUUGCAGGAUGAAGAUCCCAACGCUCACUUAGCAAACUUUCUGUAAUUUUGCGAUACAUUUAAAAUCAAUGGCGUUUCUAAUGAUGCCAUUUAUCUUCGGUUAUUUUCUUUUUCAUUAAGGAACAAAGCUAAACAGUGGUUGAACUCGUUACCAUGAGGGUCAAUUACUACUUGGGAGCAAAUGACCGAAAUUUUUUUACUAAAAUACUUUUCGCCGGCUAAAACGGCUAAAUUACGUAAUGAUAUCUCUUCUUUUGUGCAGAUGAAUUUAGAAACAAAUUACGAUGCAUGGGAGAGAUACAAUGACUUACUGAGAAGGUGCCCUCACCAUGGGUUAUCGCUUUGGCUUUAAGUACAAACAUUCCAUAAUGGUCUGAAUCCCUCGACUCGGCAAAUGGUUGACGCGGCUGCUGGCAGAACCAUCAACAAUAAAACACCGGAAGAUGCCUAUAAGUUUAUAGAGGAGAUGUCACUGAAUAACUAUCAAUGGAAAAUUAUGAGGACAAAGCCAACAAAAACAACCGGCGUUUAUAACGUCGACUCAGUUACUAUGCUGUCAAAUCAGGUAGAACUUCUCAAUAAAAAGAUUGAUGGUUUACUUGGUUCUACGAAGGUACAUCCAGUAAUGAGGUGUGACUCAAGCGGAGGAGGUGUGCAUACAGAAUAUCAAUCCUUCAAUCCCAUAACUGAAGAGGAACAAGUCAACUAUAUGGGUAACAAUAACUUUAGAUCUCAAAAUAACCCAUACAGUAAUACUUAUAAUGCAGGUUGGAGGAACCACCCAAAUUUCUCCUGGGGUGGUCAAGGGAAUCAAAAGCCACAAAAUCCUCAGGGUUUUCAACAACCACCCUACCAACAAGAAAAGAAGCCAAAUCUUGAAGAGAUGCUCUCAAAGUUUAUAUCAGUGUCAGAAACCCAUUUCCAAAAUACCAAGACAGCAUUUAAAAAUCAACAAGCAUCGAUCCAAGGACUCAAAAAUUAGAUAGGCCAGCUUUCCAAACUGAUCUCCGAAUGACCACAAGGUAGUUUGCUAAGUAAUACCAAACCUAACCCAAGGGAACAACUCAACGCAAUUAAUACUCAAGAUGUCGAAAGAGUCGUUGAGCCUGAACCAGAAUUGAGGCAAGAAACUAUGAUAAGCAAAUGGAGAGAUGAGGUAGGUCAAAAUACAAACAAACCAAUGAUUGUCGAAUAUAAACCUCGUGUGCCAUACCCUAACGCGACAAGGAAAGACCGCUCAGACGAACAAUUCUGUAAAUUCCUUAAACUUUUGAAAAAAUUACAUAUUAACUUACCAUUUAUUGAAGCUUUGUCGCAGAUGCCAAAUGCAAUGAAAUUUUUAAAAGAGAUUUUAGUAAAUAAGCGGAAGUUGGACGAAGCGUCGCAUGUGGAGCUAAAUGCAGUCUGCUCAACUAUUCUACAGAAUAAGCUACCCCACAAAUUGAAAGAUCCAGAGAGUUUUACAAUUCCUUGCUUAAUUGGCAGUUUAGAUAUACGUCAUGCAUUAGCUGAUUUAGGGGCUAGUAUUAACGUAAUGCCUUACAAAAUGUUUAAGCAACUAGGUCUUGGGAAACCUAAACAAACUAGGAUGAGCAUUCAAUUGGCAGAUAAAACUAUAAGAUUUCCUAGGGGUAUUAUUGAAGAUGUACUCGUGAAAGUAGAUAAGUUCAUAUUCCCCGUUGAUUUCGUUGUUCUAGACAUAGAAGAGGAUAAUAACACCCCUUUGAUUUUAGGCAAGCCCUUUUUAGCAACUGCUAAAACAAUUAUUGAUGUUGGCACAGGUGAGCUUACAUUUCGUGUGGGAGACGAAACGAUCACCCUUCAAGCUCGUAAUUCUGGCAUCACAUCGAACACUGAAGGUAAUAGUCCAUACCAAUCUACUAAAACUGACAAUAUGACGUUGCAGAAAUUAAGCUUCAAAGAAGUUCACGAGCCAUGUUCCAGAAAUGAUAGAGGACACAUUCAUGAAGAAUGAAGGCUACGGAUAGAUGAGCUAGACGAAUGGCGAGUAAACAAACCGAGAACACAUGAUAAACUGAAACUACGUCAAAACAAGGCCGGUACCUCUCCUAAUCAACUUAAGGUUGGUGAUAAAGUCUUACUAGAUGCCCCAGAUCCCCACAUUUUCACUACCACACCGAAUGAGGAAAUCCCUCUUACGGUACUCAAUAUUUUUCCAUUUAGUACGGCGAAGGUGAGUCACCCCAAGUUCAGCACUUUUAAGGUAAACAACACCCGAUUAAAACCCUAUUUUGAUGAUAUUGAUAGCAGGAAUGAGGAGUAUAAACUCUUCAAACCACCCUGACCAUUCACCGGAAAGGUAAGUCGAGCUUAGACUAUAAAUAAGCACUUCUCAAGAGGCAACCCGAGCACUAAUAUAUUCUGAUUUCUUUAUUUUCAAUUUCUAACACUUUAAAUCAUUCACUUUAUCUUUGAAUUGCAAAGUUUCUCAACACACACGGCCAGGCACACGGGCGUGCCUAAGACCAUGGCCAAGCAGGGGAAGAAACACGACCGUGUGAUACAGCCGUGUGGAAGCAGGACAUGAUCUCCCUAAAACACAGGAUGCGAUAAAUCCCCAUGGCUGUGCGACAUGGCCGUGGGUCAACUUGAUAGGAGAACACGGGCGUGGGAAUGGAAAAACACGAGCGUGCCAGGGGCAAGGCUCGAUUCUGUUUCUUCGACACAACGUGAGGCACGCCCGUGCCGUUAAGUCGUGGACAACAAUACACGGGCGUGGUACCCUAACACACGGGCGUGGGAGAAGCGAACAAGGCUAGGCACGAUCGUGCGAUAUGGCCGUGUGCCACACACGCCCCAGACACACGGGCGUGGGAUAGUAGCCGGGCACGACCUAAAUUGGAAAAUUCGAAAAACACGGGGUCACUUUCAGAGUACACAGGCGUGGCCCUAGACCGUGUAUAGCUCCCUUAUAUAAGCAAAUCACUUUUCAUUUUCUUCUUCCUUUCAAAACCCUAGCCAAAAUCUUCCCUUCCCCACUCCCUAAUCCCUAUUCCGGCCACCAUUACCCAGAUUCUCACUUCCCUAACCCUCAAACCACCCUAAAAUCCACUCCCCCUGAAUUAAUCCUCACUUUCCCCUCCAUUUUUCCUCCACACGGCUGUACACCCACGCCACACGCCCGUGCUCACCACCAACACGCCCGUGCGCCACCCUACAACAUAUUUUGGAACAUUAUGUCAUCAUCGAGAGGAAAGAAGGCCACGGUCCCAUCCUCAAAGAGACGUAGGGGACCGGGUUCUUCCUCGAUACGUGCUACAGCAGAAGUUUGGCACCCAUUCCUUGAGUUUUCGCAAGCUUUGUAGUAGGAGCUAUUUCAUAUACUACGCGCACGGCCCCUCACUACAGGUCGCUGCAUCAACUGGGCUGCCGUAGAGCAAGUCCAACUAGUUGAUGCCAUCCGCGACCUUCUGACUACAGACCCAUGGGAACGGUUCUUUGAUAUCACCGAACCCACUCAUUUAGAGCUAACUUUAUAAUUAUUCUCUAAUUUUCAUUUACAGGUGGGGAUGACGAAAAAUGAUGACCCUGUUACCAUUCACUUCCGAUUAGGCGGUCUAGUUCGCGUGAUGAGUGUCCCAGAGUUUGGAGUCACUUUGGGACUUUACACCGAUGAGUUUAUGGAGGAGGAGGACAUGAAUGCACUACCACGCAAUAUCCACAUUUCUCCCUCCUUGUGCUGGAAAGCUGUGGCACCACUUUCUUCCACCUACAACCCCAGCCGCUCGAAGGCCUUAGCUCUCGCCCCUUCCCUACGCUAUCUCCAUGUCAUAAUGGCACAUACCUUGACCGGAAGGAGAGAGAGCAUAGGCGUUGUCAACACCCAUGAUGCCUACUAUUUAUGGUGCAUGGCGAAUGCACACGUGACUGACUUGGCAUACUUCAUCGCUUUCUCCAUUCGCCAUCAGACUAAGCGGCAUUAGAAAUGAGUAAUCUCUAUCGGCCUCUACGUGACGCGCCUUGCCAAACACUUCAGUAUCCUCAACACCGUGGCCUAAUCAUCAGCGCUUACACUGAUAGGUCAGAUGCCCCCACAGGGCAUCACGACUAUGUUACACAUGAGGAUGAUUGAGCGCCGCCGUGGGACCGAUCCUCCUUAGUACCAUCUCACUCAUGCCAUUGACGAGGAGGAUCUAGAGGACAUUUCUGAUGAUGUCCCCCCACAGCACGAGGAGCCUUCUACCACGCCACCUAGGGAGCGACCAGUUCAUGCGGCUGCUUCAUUGGCACACCUUUUCGACCGACUCGGUCAGUUCGAGCAGUAUUGCACUACACAGUUUGAGAUGAUUCACGAGUGAGAUCGGUGACGUAAUAGACAGAUGGACAACAUGCAGGCCAUGAUGCAGCAGUUGUGCCAGCACUUUCACAUUGCCACUCUAGCGCCGCCACCUGAGGGCCCCACUGACGAGGAUCAUUGAAUCCUCUUAUCUUUUUAUUUUUAUUUUUAUUUUCAUUUCAAUUUUAUUAUUUUCUUUUGAAAGACAUAUCUCUAUUAGUAAAUUUUACUUUCUUCAUUUUUCUGGUGUCUCUAACAAGUAAUCCCACUACACUCUCUUCCACACCAACUCUUAAUAAGCUCUUCAUGAUUCUACACACUUCCAAGCAAAGCUGCUAGGAAUAUUUUACGGAAUAAGGAAACAAAUGGAAAACAACAUGUAACGCCUCAACGCCCGAGACUGUCGCUAGAGUCGAUCUUGAGGUGUUACCGAACAUAAUUUAUCAAAUUAAGAACUUCGGAUCAUUUGUUUCUACAUUCACAGUUUUCUAGCUACCUGCGUCACAGUUACAAGAAAAAUCAUAUCUCGAGUUACGAAACUCAAAAUCAAGAUCCGUAAAUUUUCCCUAAAUCUAGACUCAUAUAUCUAUUUACUAAUUUUUUCUAGAAUUUUUUGUUGGGCCAAUUAGUACAGUUUAUUAGUUAAAGUUACCCCUAUUUCAGGACUUGACUAGACUAACCUCUAUUUAACGAACCAUAUUUCUCUCAGUGAAAAAUUUAUUUGACUAUGCCGUUUGUUUAUCCUAAAACUAGACUCAAUAAGGAUUCCAUGAAUAUAAAAUAAACCACCUAAUUAUUUUUGUACAAUUUAUGGUGAAUUUCUAAAUUUGGAACAGGGGAUCCAGAAAUCGCUCUGGCCCUAUUUCACUAAAAUUCAAAUAUCUUCUAACAUAUAAUUCCUUUACCUAUUUCGUUUGUUUUAUUUAAAACUAGACAUAUUAGGCUUCAAUUUCAUAUUUAAUCCAUCACCAAAUUCGAUUUCUAUGAUUUUUAGUAAAUUUUCAAACUCACGUCAGUGUUGUUGCAAUGUUCUGUUUAUGGCAAAUUUCAUCUUUUCAUGAGUUUUAUGGACUAGAUAACCUAUUUACCUUCGAAGACAUCAAACAUAAUCUAAAUUAGCCAUUUCCAUGACUUAUCAUUAUCAAGCAUUUUCUCAACCAAUUCACUGCCAUAUCACAAAAUUAUUUACACAAAAUAGGUAUAUUGCUAUACAUGCCAUACUUAAGUUUUACAAGCCAUUUACCAAAAAAUGUCCUUCGGAUAGUGUGAUCGAACCUUCGACCUGUCCCGAUUCCCGAGCCGGCUUGUUCAAAACUACAGUGAAUAAAAAGGAGGGAGUAAGCAUAAAUUCUUAGUAAGUUCAUAUGCAAAUAACAAGUAACAUAACAAUAAAAUUUUACCAAACAACCUUAGCAUGGUAUCACCAAAACAUAUAUUACAUUUCUAAACAUCAUUCAUCAUCUUACCACCUUAUUGUUGUUGUAUCUAUUUUCAACCCGAGGGUUAAGUACAUACCUGUCCAAAGUGUCCAUUUCACAACACUUACCAAAACAUCACUUGCACCUUAAAUGUUCUUCCAUUUCACUAGAAAUUUUACCCGUUGAACACGUAGGAAUAUAAUCCGGAUACAUGGAUAAUUUGCACAUAAGUGCCACAUAUGUAAUCAAGCAAUCAUGUAACCCGCCCCUAAGUGAACUCGGACUCAACUCAACGAGCUCGGGCAUUCGCAUCCAUAAGUGAACUCAGACUCAACUCAACGAGUUCGGAUGCCUAGUUACAUCUCUCGAACUCGGACUCAACUCAACGAGUUCGGAUGCUCAACCAUCAUAGUGACAUGUCACUUGUAUCCUAAUAUAUUCCUAAGGUUCAAACGGGAUUUUCCUCGAACAUAUAUUCUUUCCAUCUUCCGUAAAAUACCGAAACCAAUACUCGGUAGCACUUUAUAUUUAACAAAUAAUAUACAUAAUUUGCAUUUUAUUCGAAAAUAACCACAAAGCAUAAAUUUCAUGAUUAAAAUCAGCAUAUGAUAUAAUUAACAUCAAUAACUUAUAAAUAACAAUUAUGCCACAUUAUUCACACAUGAACUUACCUUGGUACCAAAAUAUAAAGAUUUUGCAAUUUAGUCCACAAUCUUUUCUUUUCCUCAAUUGGGGUCGAUUCCAUGUCUUUCUUGAUCUAAAAUAACACAUUUAGCUUAUUUAAUACUCAAAUUAUCAAAUUAGUCUUUAAUUCAAAUUUUAGCAAAAUUACAAUUUUACCCCUAAACUUUUGCAUAUUUACACUUUUGCCCCAAAUCUUGGGAAUUAAACUUAAUUCCUUAUUCUUAUAUUUUAUGACAUGCUAAUCACUUUUCCCUUCUAUGGCAACAUCAAAUUCUCACUCUAACAUGUAUUUAUGACUAGUAGGUAUUUUUGUCGAUUAAGCCCUUUUACUUGUUUUCACUCAAGACCGAGUAGCACAAGUUGUCUAACAUAAUUUAAAACCUCAUAUUCUAUCAUAAAACAUCAAAAUUCACAAAUUUCACCUAUGGUAUUUUUCCAAAUAUGAGCUCUAACUCAAAAUAUUACUAUCAUAAGCUAUACCGAGUUACCGAGAUUUCAAAAACGUAAAAAUCAUUAAAAACGGGGCUUGGAAUCACUUACUAUGAAGCUUGAAAAUUGAAGAAACCCUAGCUAUGGAGAGAGGGAGCAUUCGGCAACAACUAAGAAAGAUGAUAACAAAUUUUGUGUUAUUUUUCCCUUUUUAUUUCAUUUAAUAUUCAAAUGACCAAAAUGCCCCUCUUACUAAACUUUAAAAAAAUUCCUUCCAUGUCCUAAAUUUGUCCAUGAACUUAAAAUUGGUCAAAGUACCAUUUAAGACCUCCUAAUUAAUAUUUCAAGGCAAUUUCAUACUAAAAACUUCUAGAAUGCAAGUUUUGCAAAUUAUUCGAUUUAGUCCCUAAUUUCAAUUUAAGUACUUUAGGCAUAGGAUUUCAUCACGAAAUUUUCACACAAUCAUGAAAUAUUAUCAUAAACAUCAAAAUAAUUAUAAAAUAAUUAUUUCUAUCUCGGAUUUAUGGUCACAAAACCACUAUUCCGAUUAGGCCCUAAUUCGAGAUAUUACACAACACCUCACGAGUGCCAUGUUCAACGACCUAAUUUCUUCAUCUAGCUAAUAACAGUGGCAGCUGCCACUUUCCCCAAACACUCCAGCCUCAGAAUCAAGCUCCACAUCCAUAUAACAGGGAGUUUCACCUCCUUCCCUCUUAUGAUUUUCUUUAUUUUGAAUAAUUUUUCUUUGUACAUUGAGGGCAAUGUACAUCUUAAGUGUAGGGGGUGAACAUGAACAUGAUGCCUAACUUUUUGCAUUAUUCUCAAAUCCCUAAAUAUGAUUUGUGCUUAAGUGAUUUUCUCAAAAUAUUGAUCGAAUGAAUUUUGAUUGAUCUAUAAUUAUUGUUGAUAUGUCAUGAAUUAGACCAUGGGAAUUAUGCAUGAUUAUUUGAUUAUAGGACAUUAGAAAAUCGAGCAUGAUAAAUUGAUAUUUUGAGAACUAAAAUUUUUAGAUUAUUUUUCUAAAUUGAGGUAUUAUCUUGAAAUCUUAAGUAUAGAGGAAUGACAUCAAAAACCUAAAUUUUUGGUGAGAUUUUUGAGCCUUUUGAGCAUAUAGCUUUCUUUCUUGCUCACUUCUUUUGUGGUUUGAGUGUGUCAACAUUGAACUGUUAUUCUAGAACUUGCUUCGAUUAUAUAUAUUGAGUUCACACGUAUGAUUUGAUAUAUUGAGAUGAUAAAGACACUUAGGAUUUAACCCACUUACUCCAUAAAAAGCCUUCCCACAUAAUUAAACCCUUAGUAAACCCCUUUGAGCCUACAACCCUUUUUAUUAAUUAACCCUCAUCAUUAACCCAUUAACCCAUUAUUAUUGAAAUCCUCUUACUUAAUUUACCUUUUUUUUAUCGGGAUUAUUUUUAAUAUUGUUACCUCACUAUGUUCACCAUUUUUUGUUACUAAAUCAGGAAAUAUGAUUUCUAUAUUGUAUUGACUUGAUUUGUUCUUAAAAAAAAACCUCAGUAUUAUUAUUGUAAUUCUCAGCAAGCUAAAGUUGCCAUGAGCUCAUGUAAUAUAGUUCUAGAUAUUUGCUUGUGAUUCAGUAAUUAAGUUUUUGAUAGUGGGGUAAUAUAUUGAAAUUAUCUCGAUUCUAACCUUUGUCUCUUCAGCUUGUAUCCAUACCCGUAACCUAAACCUCGUUACAACCAUGCAAAGACCUUUUGAUUUGUGUAUCAUAUCAUUUACAAGUGGUGGAGAUUUGAUUUUCACGUAAGCCUAUAGUAAUAACUUCUCAUGUUAGACAAUCGAGUGCUUAAUCUUGAACCUUAAACACUUUGAGUGAUUUGAGUGAAUCUUUAGUGAGGAUGUCAUCUCUUGUAUAUUUAGGACUAAAGUUAAUUACUUAGAGGAAGGAGAUUACUUAUGAUUUUAUUAUCAAAAUAUUCAAUUUAGAUUGUUUGAGGCUUUUAAUGCCCCUAUAGUUGAAUUUUCACUGUAUAAUUUUUUGUGGAAUAACUUGUAACAUUAUCAGUAAUGAUUAUGUGAUUGAGAGGUAUGAAUUCUAGUAGUAAAUGAGAGUUUUGCUUAAGGACAAGCAGAUGCUUAAGUGUGGGGGUGUUUGAUAAACGCCAAAUUAUACAUAUUUUUACCCCAAAUACCUAGCAUAUUUAUGGAUGUUUAUUACUAGAUUUAUGGAUUUUGGUGCUCUUAAUUCAGUUAUUUCAUGUUUUGUACUCAGGAGCGCACCAAAAGUCAAAAAGAGCCAAAAACGAGCCAAAAAGGGACAAAACUGACAAAAUCGAAAAGAUGACACGGCCUAAGCCUUGCCACACGGGUAGCUCACACACCCGUGUCUUUCGAGGGUGUCGACCAAGGCUUUCACGAUUGACACGGCCUGGCCAUUGACCCACACGACUGUGUGAAAUUUAACGGAUCAAACACUGCCUGGCAAUUAUUUCACACGACCGUGGCACAUGGGCGUGUCCCUUUUUCAAAGAGUUUUAUUUUACACGGAAAAGGAUACUUAGGGAGGAAGAAAGCCAAUCCAAAACCUAUAUAAACACCCUAAGUAUGACUUAGAAAGGGGCUGCUCUCUUUAGAAAUUUUCUAGAGUACAGAACCGCACGCCGGGAAAUAGUUGAAGAAGGCUAGAUGAUCCAUCCCAAAAGCCGGAGCUACUCCAAGACUGAAGAUUUCUCUCAGAAUUCCUUCAGGGGUUUUAGAGUUUUCUUUAUGUUUUGUUAUUUUCAUACUUUUGAGAUGUACUCUUAUUUUAUUAUGAACUAAACCCCUUAGAUACCUAAGGUGGUUGAAGCCUAUGAUGACUCUUGUUAUUAUUAUCUGAACUAUAUGAUAAAUACUUGAUUUUUUCUUAAUUAUGUGUUUUUAAUGCUUGAAUUAAUAUUUCGGGUAUUAAUUCAUAAUUUGAUGUACUUAUGUAGAAGAGCAAAAGUCCCUGUCUAAAAGUAGAUUUGGCAUAAUUAAGCGGAGUUGAUCGAACGCCUAGAAAUAGGGUUACGAGAUUUUGCCAAAUUAGGGUGAAACCUAAUAUGGGAGUCCAUAGAUUGAUUUAUUGCUUCCCUAGGGGUUUUAAUUAAGAAAGAGAUUUCGAUUAAUUCAACUGAGGGUUAGACAUUAUUAGUUUCAAAAGAGAUAAUAAUAUAGGUUUGAGAGUCUCACGGAUCAAGUCAAGUGAAUAAAUCGUCUGGUUUAGAGUCAGAUAACAAGUGAAAUCUAGGUGGAUUCCUCCUUGGGUGUCGUCUUUAUCAAUUACUUUUCUUCAAGCCUUUUUCCAAAUUUUCUCUUUGCUUUAGUUUAAUUAGUUAAUUAGUUUAAUAAACAACCCCUCCUUAUUUCUAGGUUAAAUAAUAAAAAGAUAGUUAUUACUAGUACUUUUGGUUCCCUUGGGUAUGAUAUCCCAGUCUUGCCAUUACUAUACUAUUGUUCGAUAGGUGCGCUUUCCUUUUCGUCAUGAUAAUAGUUAGUUUAGGUUUGAUCUUCAUUAUAAAUAUUUAUUACUUGUUACGAAUCACGCGAUCAACUGCCCCACGAGAAAUUGGGGUGGCUUCUCCAACCUGCAUUAUAAGUGUUACUAUAUGGAUUGUUUUGAGGUCGAGGAUUAUUACCCAUGUAAUUUAAUUGCUUGUUAUCGAUGUUGUGACCAUAAGGUUAGUAUUCUGAAUGACUUGUUCCACCUCCACUUGCUUCGCACUGCAUUACUGGGUGAACCUAUGUAGAACUAAGAAAACCAUCAAUCUUUUUAUUUAGAAGUUCUACCUGGUUUGAUAGCAUAGUAAUCGAAUCAACAUUAUAAACGCCUGCUGUUUUAGUUGGUUUUAUCCUUAUGAGUUGCCACUGAUAGUUAUUCAGUGACAUCUCCUCUAUAAACUCAUAAGCAUCUUCAGGUGUUUUAUUAUUGAUGGUUUCGCCAGCAGCUGCGUCAACCAUUUUCCUAGUCGAAGGAUUCAGGCCAUUAUGGAAUGUUUGAACCUGAAGCCAAAGCAGUAACCCAUGGCGAGGGCACCUUCUUAAAAGGACCUUGUAUCUCUCCCAUGCAUCGUAGAGUGUUUCUAAAUCCAUUUGCACAAAGGAAGAGAUACCAUUACGUAAUUUAGCCGUUUUAUCCGGCGGAAAAUAUUUUAGUAAAAAUUUUUUGCUCAUUUGUUCCCAAGUAGUAAUUGACCCUCGCGGUAACGAGUUCAACCACUGUUUAGCUUUGCUCCUCAAUAAGAAAGGGAAUAACCGAAGAUGAAUGGCAUCGUCAGAAGCACCAUUAAUUUUAAACGUAUCGCAUAGUUCCAAAAAGUUUGCUAAGUGAGGGUUGGGAUCUUCAUCCUGCAAACCAUCAAACUGAACAAAUUACUGUAUCAUUUGAAUAGUGUUAGGUUUUAGUUCAAAAGUAUUUGCAGCUACAGCAGGUCUAACUUUGCUCGAUUCAGUUCCUGUGAAAGAAGGUUUAGCAUAAUCAAACAUACUGCGUGGAGCAGGAUUUUGAUUAACCGCAAUUGUAGGAGGUAGCUGAUUGUCUUGGGUUUCAGCCAUCUCUUCGGUUGGGGAUUGAGUAUCGUCUUCUUGCUCUCUCUCUAUGUAUCUUAGGCUUCGCCUUAUUUCUCUUUGGUUUCUACGAACUAUGCAAUCGAUUUCUUCGUCAAAAAGUAGUGGUCCUGACGGGUUUCUUCUAGUCAUAAACUAUAAAAACCUGUCAGAAGAAAGAAAAAGAAAAAUAGUAAAUUAGAAUAAAAUUAAAAAUAAAAUUAGAUUGCAAAAAAAAAAUAAAUGGCUAAAGUAAUAAAAAUUGAGUGUUCCUAAUAUUUUAGUUUCCUGGCAACAGUGCUAAAAACUUGAUCUCGUGAUUUCGUGAUAGGUUUUAAAUAUUUAUAAUUAAUCUUUCUUGACACUAACUAUUAUCACGAUGUAGGCAAGUGUACCUAUCGAGCAGUAGUAUAGUUUUAGCAAGACCGGAUUGUCGAACCAAAAGGAACUAAAAGUACAAGUAAUUACUGUCUUUUUAUUAUCUAGCCUAGGAAUAAAGAGGUUUUGUUUUAACUAACUAAUUAUCUAAACUAAGAACUCACAGAGAAUAGAAUUGGGGAAUUACUUUUGGGAAAAUUGAUUGAAUUAAGACAAAACCUAAGGAAAAAUCCACCUAGACUGUACUUGUUAUUCUAGCUCCGAAUCAGACGAUUUAUUCAUUUAACUUGUUUCGUAGAGAUCCCUAAGUUAUGUUAUUAUCCUUAUUCAAGACUAAUAACGUCUAAUCCCUAGAUUGAAUAAUUGAGACCUUUCUCUACUUAACACCUUAGGGUUGUAUUAACUCGAUCUAUGGAUCCCCUUAUUAGGUUUCACCCUAAUCCGGCAAAAUCUUGUUACCCUAUGUCUCAACUUCGCUUAAUUAUGACAAAUGUACUCUUAGACAAGGUCUAUUCCUCCUCUGAAUAAGAGCUUAUCUUGAAUCAGUAUCCUGGGAUAUCAAAACAAGAAUUAAGAACAAGUUAAACAUUUAUCAUACAAUUCAAAAAAUAAUAACAAGAUUCAUCUUAGGUUUCAUUCCCGUUAGGUAUUUAGGGGUUUUAGUUCAUAACUAAAUAAGAAAACAUCUCAGAAUAAUAAAGAAUACAAAACAUAAAGAAAACCCAAAACUCCUGAAAAGGAAUUGAGGAGACAUCUUCAGUCUUGAUGGUGAAUCCGGCUUCUGAGAUGGAUCAAUCGGCUUCCUUGGAGUAAUUCCUUACUCCCUAUUCUGUGCCCCCCUUUUCUUUCUCCUUUAGGGUGUAUUUAUAGGCUUUGGAAUGCCUAAGAGCCCUCAAAAUUAGCCUUUUCCAAAUUGGACUCAACUUGGGCUCGGUAGGGACACGCCCGUGUAACACGCCCAUGUGCGAUUACUUCAAGCCGUGCUCGAGCCUGCCAAAUUGACACGGCUGUGUGGUCUGCCCGUGUGAGGAGGUCCAGGCCGUGUUGAUUUCGUACUUCGGCCAUUUUCUCCGGUUUGGGCCCGUUACUUGUUCCUUUCACUCUCCUAUGCUCUCUUAAGUAUAAAACUUGAAAUUAAAGCAUUAGAAGCAUCGAAUUCACCCAUUCUAAUGGGAAAUCAUCCAUAAAAUGCAUUAAACAUGGGGUAAAAAUAUGUAUAAAUUACUGUUUAUCAACUCCAAUUAUAAUCGCACCUGAUUGGAAUUUACCUUUCGAACUAAUGUGCGAUGCGAGUUAUUUUGCAGUAGGUGCAGUUUUGGGACAGUAAAGAGACAGUAAAGAGAUAGGCAUUUUCAACCUAUCUAUUAUGCUAGUAAAACCUUGACAGCUGCACAAGAAAACUACACCACCACAGAGAAAGAGAUGCUAGCUGUGGUUUUUGCAUUCGAUAAAUUUAGGCCAUAUCUAAUAUUGUCUAGAGUUGUCGUUUAUACUGACCAUUCUGCUCUUCACUACCGUUUAACUAAGACUGAUGCAAAACCUCGACUUAUUCGAUGGAUUCUUUUAUUGCAGGAAUUUGACUUAGAGAUUCAGGAUAAGAACUGAGCUGAAAAUCUCACGACUGAUUAUCUUUCCAGGCUUGAAAAUUCAAGUACUAAAGAGCCAGAUGAAGUUGAAAUAAAUGAUUCAUUUCCUGAAGAAUAAUUUUUUGCUAUAUCUGAUUAUGAGGUACCUUGGUUUGCAGACAUUGUGAAUUUUUUAACUGCUAACAUUAUCCCAAAAGGGUUGACACAUCAGCAAAAGAAGUGAUUCUUUACUGAUGUGAAAAACUACUUUUGGGAAGACCCUUUCCUUUUUCGUAUAUGUGCAGAUCAAGUCAUUAGGAGAUGCGUUAGAAGGUCAGAAGCAUUGAAUAUCUUGGAACAUUGCCACUCAUGACCAAUUGGAGGACAUUACAGUGGAAAUAGGACCGCACAUAAAAUACUCGAAGCAGGUUUUUAUUGGCCUACACUUUUAAAGGACGCCAACAGGUAUGUUGCUACUUGUAAUAAUGCCAACGAAUAGGUAAUAUCUCUAAACGUGAUGAAAUACCGCAAACAUACAUGUUCUCAUGUGAAAUAUUUGACAUAUGGGGUAUUGAUUUCAUGGGUCCAUUCCCCAGCUCAUUUGGGAAUAAAUAUAUAUUAGUAGCCGUUGAUUAUACGUCUAAAUGGGUGGAAGCCCAAGCUUUACCUACUAAUAAUGCUGGAGUGGUAAUACAAUUCCUUAAGAAACUCUUCUCUCGAUUUGGAACACCUAGAGCAAUUAUCAAUGAUAAGGGUACUCAUUUUUGUAACGCCCAAUUUGAUAUGACCCUUAAGAAAUACGAAGUUCACCACAGAACAACUACCCCCUAUCAUCCUCAAACUAGUGGACAAGUCGAAGUAGAAAACCGAGAGCUCAAACGUAUCCUAGAAAAGACAGUACAAUCAAAAGGAAGGAUUGGGCGAUGAAAGUAGAUGAUGCUUUAUGGGCUUAUAGAACUGCUUUUAAGACCCCCAUAGGAACAUCCCCUUACAGGCUUGUCUACGGAAAAAGUUGUCAUCUACCGUUUGAGUUAGAACACAAGGCAUUCUGGGCUAUAAAAUUUCUAAACCUUGAUCUAAAACUUGCAGGUGAAAACAGGUUGAUGCAGUUGAAUGAGUUAGAUGAGUGGCGAACCAAUGCAUAUGAAAAUUCACGCCUAUACAAGGAAGCAACAAAGUGCCGCCACGAUGCUCGUUUGAGGCAACACAAGCAAUUUGAAGUUGGAAAUCUUGUCAUGUUAUAUAACUCGAGGCUCAAAUUGUUUCCUAGAAAGCUUAAAUCACGAUGGUCAGGUCCUUUCGUAGUCCAAACUGUGUUUCCAUAUGGCACAGUAGAGGUAAGUCAUCCAUCACAUGACACUUUCAAGGUAAAUGGACAUCAUCUCAAACUCUAUAACAGUGAGAAUUUUAAAGACAAUAAAGAGGAGCUACGGCUCCAUGAACUUACCUGAAUAUACCCAUAAGGUAGAGUCGAGCUUAGACUCUAAAUAAACGCUUCUCUAGAGGCAACCCGAGCACUAACGGUGUUGAUUUCUUUAAAUUUUAGUUUUUAACAUCUAAAUCAUUAACUGAGUCCUUAAACACAGGUUUUCCAAAUCCACACGACCAGACACACGGGCGUGCCUUAGGCCGUGCUCAUACCACGGGAGGCGACACGGCCGUGUGAUACGGCCGUGUGAAAAUAGAGUAAACUUUUUCCCAAAACACGAGAUUUAAUACGUUGCCACGGUUGUGCGGCAUGGCCAUAGGUAAUCUUGCCAAAUUAACACGGGCGUGCGACACGCCCUUGACCACCACCCGUGGUCGAAACUAUCAAAAUAACAUGGGUGUGCGCAUACAUACACGGGGUGGGAGAAGCGAACAAAGCAGGACACGACGUACAACACGCCCAUGUCUAUAAGCCGUGGUAGAAACUGAAAAAUUAAAACGGACGUGUGACACGCCCGUGCCCACCACCCGUGGUCGAAACUGUCAAAAUGACACGACUUUGAAACACGGUCGUGUGCACCAACGCACCCAAAUUUGAAAACCACGAAACACAUGGGCUGAAAUAAAGGGCACAUAGGCGUGCCCCACGGUCGUGCCCCACAGCCGUGUGCCCCAAUAUCUUUAUAAACCCCUAAUAUUCAUCUUUUAUUUAUUUUUAUUUUUAUCUUUAUUUAUCUUUUUAACUUACUUUUUAUCCUAUUUCUCUUUAAUACUAUUUUUACUUCAUCUUUAGAUUUUACAAUUUAUAGUAAGCAAUUUAUGUUUUCGGGCAUUUCGUUAAGAGUUAUCGCAGUUAUUACAUAGGAAUUUGCAACUCCACUGGAAAAGGUCCUCCACAACUUCCAUGCCCUGCUCGACCACGACCAUAGCUAUCAUAAGUUAUAAUAUUCUUUUGGCACAACACUUGUGAACUAACAACCUCUACUACCACCAGAGUAUCCUCUUUCAAAUCUCACCCUUGCUUUAGCCGUUUACUUUCCAUCACUCUAAUUCAAGGAUUUUAUUUAACAUUUAGGAAGUUUCACUCCUCUCCCUAUCUUAUGAUCUUAUAUUUAUAUUUUUUAGUAAAUCUAUCUUUGUACAUUGAGGACAAUGUACAUCUUAAGUGUGGGGGUUAUUUAUAUCAUUAUCAGAAAAAUCCUUGAAUUUUGUCUUAUUCUCACGUGACUCACUCAUAUCACUAUUAGAAUAAAAUUUUGAUUAAUUUAUGAUUUUUAUUGAUAUGUCUUGAAUUAAAACAUAGACAUUUAUGCAUUGAUUGUUUAAACUUUAAGAAAUUAGAGAAUCAAGCAUGAGAAGUUGAUUUUUGAGAAUUAAAAAUUUUUAGGUUAUUUCCCCAAGUUUAGGUAUUAUCUUGAAGUUGAAAUUCACAGGGUUAACAUAAAAAAGCCACAAUUUUUGUGAGAUCUUGAGCCUUUAGAGCAUAUAUUAUUUCUUCAUGCUCACUUUUAUUGUUGCUAUGAGUAUGUUAAUAUAUGUUAAUAUUGAUUUGUUAUUCUAGAACUUGCUUCAAUUAUGCAUGUCAAGACCACACCAUUGAUUUGAUAUGUCGAGAUGAUAAAGGCACUUAGGUUUAACCCACUCACUCCAUAAAAGUCUACCUUCAUAAUUAACCAUUAGUGAAACCUCUUGAGCCUAACAAGCCAUUCAUUGAUUUACCCUCAAUAUUAACCCAUAACCCAUUAUUAUUGAAAUCCGCUCAUUUAAUUUGAUCCUUAUUUUUGUCGAAAUUUGAUUUGAAUAAAUUGCUUAGCUAUGUUUUAUUUUUGAUAGUUAGUAAAGUUCUAUGUUCUUAAAAAAAAAUAAAGUGCUACAAUUGAGAUUUUUCGUCUAGCAUAUGACAAAAUAAUGUAAUGCUUGGAUUAAAACGAUGUUAUCCAUGAAGAAAAGCUCAAUUCUAGGACCAUCUAAUUAGGGAUGUAAUUUUUCAGUUUUAGUAUUUUUCUAGUUAGGUAAAUUUUCAAUUCAAUCUCGAUUCUAACUUUCUCUUUCAGCUUGCGACCACACCCCCUAACCAAAGCCACGUUACAACCAUCGAAAGACCUUUUGAUUGAUGUAUCAUCUCAAUAUAUAAUGGUGGAGAUUUGAUUUUCACGCAAGCCUAUGGUAAUAACUUUUCAUAUUGACUGAUGAGUGCUAAAUUUGUUGUCCUUAAACACCUCGAGUGAUUUGAGUGAAUCUUUAGUGAGGAUGUUAAAUUCUUUGAUAUUUUGAAUCAAAUGUGAUUACUUAGAUGAGGGGAUACACUUAUGUUUUCGUAAUAAAAUGCUCAACUUGGAAUGUUUGAAACUUUGAUGUUCUUCUAGUUGAAUUCUCAAUGUAUGAUUACUUAUCGUUUAUUUUAAGAUAUUAUUGAUAGGAAUUAUAAGUUGAGAAAAAUGAAUUUUCAAUUGUGAAUUGAGGACUUUGCUUGAGGACAAGCAAACGCUUAAGUGUGGGGGUAUUUAAUAAGUCGUAAUUUAUACAUAUUUUAUCCCAUGCUUAAGCAUAUUUUUGGAUGAAUUAUCAUUAGAUUUGUGAAAUUUGAUGCUCAUAAUCCUUUAAUUUCAUGUUUUAUAUUGGGUGAGCAUAAGAGAGUAAAAAGAGCGAGAAACGGACCAAAAACGGAGAAAAUGGGUCAACGUGGGAAAUCAACAUGGCCUGGACUUACUCACACGGGUAGACCAUACGCCCUUGUCUAUUUAGCAGGCUUUAACAUGACCUAAGCCACCCCACACGGGCGUGUCCCUGUCGAGCCCAAGUCUAGUUCUACUCGGAAAAUGCCACUUUGGAGGGUUCUUAAACACCCUAGAGAAGAAUUAAAAGGAGAGACGAAAUAAGAGGCAAGGAAUUACUCGAAGAAAGUCGAUUGAUCCAUCUCAUAAGCUGGAUUCUUCUUCAAGACUGAAGAUCUCCCUUCAAUUUCCUUUAAGGGUUUUUGGGAUUCUUUAUGUUUUGUUAUUAUUAUUCUUCUGAGAUGUUUUAUUUUACACAUAUGAACUAAAUCCCCUAAAUACUUAAGGGGGAUGAAACCUAAGACAGAUCUUGUUAUUAUUUUCUGAAUUAUAUGAUAAAUACUAUAUUUUUCUUAAUUAUGUGUUCUUAAAUCUUGCUUUAAUAUUCCAGGAUAUUGAUUCAAGUAUUGAUGUGCUUAUUCAGAGGAGCAAAGGUCCCUGUCUAAGAGUAGAUCUAGCAUAAUUAAGCGGAGUUGAUUGCACUCCUAGACAUAGCGUGACAUAAAUCUGCCGGAUUAGGGUCAAACCUAAUAAGGGAAUCCAUAGAUUGAGUUAAUGCAACACCAGGGGUUUUAAUUAGAAAGAGAUUUUAAUUAAUCAUCCUAGGGUUAGACGUUGUUAGUCUCAAGAGAGAUAAAAUAUAAAUUAGGGAUUUCUACGAAUCAAGUCAAGUGAAUAAAUCGUCUAAUUAAGAGUCAAAUAACAAGUGACAUCUACGUGGAUUUUCCCUUGGGUAUUGUCCAAAUCAAUCAGUUUUCCUAAAAGUAUUUCCCCAAUAUACUUCAUGUGCAUUCUUAGCUUAGUUAAUUAGUUUAGAUAAAAUAAAUCCUCUUAUUUUUAGGCUAGAUAAUAAAAAGAAGGUUAAUACUAGUACUUUUAGUUCCUGUGGGUUUGACAUUUUAGUCUUGCUAUAAGCUAUACUACUGUUCGAUAGGUGCGCUUGCCUUUAUCGUGAUAAUAGUUAGUUUUCAAGUACGAUCAAUCAUAAAUAUAAUACUUAUCAUGCACAUCAUCUACGAUUUUAUGGAAUUAAUUUGGGAAAAUUUCGUUCGAAACUUUUGACGUUUGAGCACUUAAUUUAGCAAAAAGGACUAAAUUGAAAAAAGUGCAAAACUUGAGUUCUAGAAGCUAGAGGUGUCUUAUUACUAUGAAAUUUUAAAUUAAAGGUACUUAGAUGGUAGUUAGACCAUUUCCUAAGUUAGUUGACAAAAAUGGACAUGGUAGGGUGAAAUUUAAAAGUUUUAAGUUAAGGGCAUUUUGGUCAUUUGGCUAGUAAAGACAAAAUAAAACACAUAAAAGAUGUCAUCUUCUUAAUUUCAUCCUCCCAUGGCCGAAUUUCUCAAGGGUUUCCAUAUCUAGGGUUUGUCAAGUUUUCAAGCUCGAUUCUAGUCCGUUCUAACCCUGUUUUUAAUGAUUUUUUAUGUUUUUGAGAUCCUUGUAACCUAAUCUAGCUUACUCAAUGACUAAUUUGAAAGAAAGAUGAAGUUUAAAAUUUUACCCAUGAUAGAUAUUUGUGUAUUUUGAUUUCUAAUGAUAGAAAAUGUAUGUUUGGAUAAAAAAUGCAUGUUUGGUGUUUGAUAAACAACUUUUGUUAAGUGAUUUUCGAUAAAAAUGUAAAAAAGGACCUAUUUGUAAAAGUUAUAAAAUAAGUAGUAAAAGUGUGAUUUAGUGGAAAAUGUGGGCUGGUAUAAGUAUGAAAAUGGUUCGGCUAGGCUUGGAUUUUGAAGAAAUUGAAUACAUUUCUAUUUAUGAGUCUAGGGACUAAAUUGUAAAAAUGUGAAACAUUAGGGGCAAAAUGUAAUUUUGCCAUAAUAUGCUUUUUUGGACUGAAUUGAACAAUUUGAGUAUUAAAUAAGUUAAAUUUGUUAUUAUAAAUCAAGAAAAAGAGGUUCGGACCUAGACCGAGGGAAAAACAAAGUGUUUGACGAUUAGGUCAAAUUCUACUAUUUUUGUACCAAGGUAAGUUCGUAUGUAAAUAAUGGAUUGUUAUAUUUAUAUUCUAAAUGCUUUAAUAUUGUAUGAACUGUGAAUGACUCUUUGAACGUACUCGACGAAGUUUUGACAAACGAGAAUUCCUGAUUGAGCCUUAUGAAUACAAUAGGAUACGAUUGACAUGUCACUAGGAACCCAUAUGUUUUUGUGAUUCGGGUGCUGGUCUUGUACUUCCUACUAGUGGCUGGGUAGUCAGGCAUGAGUUGCGCAUACCUGACAGCUUGUGGAGCAGCACUGUGUAGCUACAUCUUGACUGACAGCUUGUGUGAGCAGGCACGUGAAUAGCUCGAAAACGAGCCUAUAUGUAUUAUGAGAUAUGAGGUAGCUUUGGCUACAUAUAUAGCACUUAUGUGCAAUAUUUUAGAGUAUUCAUUAAUAUUCUGAGUGUUCAAGGGGAAUGUUAAAGUUGUGAAAGAUUAUGGUUAUGUUGCGAGUGGUACAGGUAUGUACGUAAAACUCAUACGUAAUAAGCUCGAUAUGUGAUGAACCCUUGGUAAGGUUGUGAUUGAGUAAGAUAUGAGUAUAAGAAUUUAAUGACAUUCAUGCCAUAUUUCAUCAUGUUAAUUGUAUGUUUAAUGUGUGAUUAUGAUGCCUAUUAUUUGCAUAGGAACUUACUAAGCUUUAAAGCUUAUUCCCCUUCCUUUCCCUUGUCUUAUAGUGUCACCAAGCUAGCUCGGGGAUCGGAGACUAUCGGAGAUCCACUCACACUAUCAACAAAUAUUUUGGUACCAAUGAUUUCAACAUUUUGAGUUAUGGCAUGCAUAGGGGACUUGGUAAUUUUGUUAUGUAUCGUAAUCGAAUUGGCCAAAUGUGUUUGCUUAUAUUGGUUGACAGUUCAUUUUGUAUGAGGCCAUUUGAAAUUGGCUACUAUUUGUAUAAGUAAUUUAUAUGAUGAUGUCUUUCAUGAAUGUGGAAAUUUACAUGAUUUGAGUUGAUGUGUAUGUUAUGUUUUUGUAUGUUAGAUGGUAGCAUGUGAAUGUUGUGUUGAUGUCUUGGUUGUGGCUAAUUUGGUUGUAUGUAUAUGCAUGAAUUGGUGCUAUGUUGCGUUGUGUAGGUGUGUGCUUAAAAGGGUGGCAAAAUGACUUGGUAAAUAGCCUUAUUUUUGUCCACAUGGGCAGGCGCACGGGCAUGUGUAUAGGCCGUGUGCGACACACGGCUUACCCCAUGGGCAUGUGUUUAGGCCGUGUGUCCUCUGCACCCUAAUCUUAGCAAAACAGAAUGCUCGAAAUUGAGUACACGGGUAGAGACACGAGCGUGUGUCUCUGCCGUAUGGAUGACACAGCCUUAGGCACAGGCGUGUGCCUUGGGCGUGUGAUAAACCGUAAUUUAUACUUAUUUUUACCCCAUGCUUAACGCAUUUUAUGGAUGAUUUUUCCUUAGAAUUGGUGAAUUCAAUGCUCCUAAUGCCUUAAUUUCAUGUUUUAUACUUAGGUGAGCAUAGGAGAGCGAAAGGAACGAGAAAUGAGCCAAAAACAGAGAAAAUGGGUCAAAGUACGAAAUCAACACGGCCUGGACUUACUUACACGGGCAGACCACACGGUCGUGUCAAUUGGGCAGAAUCGAAGCACGACUCACAUGGGCUGUCACACCGGCAUGUCCCUGUCAAGGCCAAGUUGAGUUCAAUUCGGAAAAGGCUUAUUUUGAGGGCUUUUAGGCAUUCCAAAGCCUAUAAAUACACCCUAGAAGAGGAAGAAAAGACACACAAAGAGAAGGAGGCAGGGAACUACUCAAGGGAAGCCGAUUGAUCCAUCUCAGAAGCCGGAGUCACCAUCAAGACUGAAGAGCUACCCUCAAUUUCUCUUCAGGAGUUUUGGGUUUUCUUUAUGUUUUGUAUUUAUUAUUCUUCUGAGAUGUUUUCCUUUAUAGUUAUGAACUAAAUCCCCUAAAUACCUAAGGGGAAUGAAACCUAAGACGAAUCUUGUUAUUAUUUUCUGAAUUGUAUGAUAAAUAUUUAACUUGUUCUUAAUUAUGUGUUCUUAAUUCUUGUUUUGAUAUCCUAGGAUACUGAUUCAAGAUAAGCUCUUAUUCAGAGGAGGAAUAGACCCUGUCUAAGAGUACAUUUGUCAUAAUUAAGCAAAGUUGGUUGCGCGCCUAGACAUAGGGUGACAAGAUUUUUCCAGAUUAGGGUGAAACCUAAUAAGGGGAUCCAUAGAUCGAGUUAAUGCAACCCUAGGGUGUUAAUUAGAGAAAAGUCUCAAUUAUUCAAUCUAGGGAUUAGACAUUAUUAGUCCUGAAUAGGGAUAAUAACAUAACUUAAGGAUCUCUACGGGGCAAGUUAAAUGAAUAAAUCGUCUGAUUCGGAGCCAGAAUAACAAGUAAAGUCUAGGUGGAUUUUUCCUAAGGUAUUGUCUUAAUUCAAUCGUUUUCCAAAAGUAAUCCCCCAAUUCUACUUUCUGCAAAUUCUUAGUUUAGAUAAUUAGUUAGUUAAAACCAAACCCCCUAUUUUUAGGCUAGAUAAUAAAAAGACAGUCAUUACUAGUAUUUUUAGUUCUUUUGGGUUCGACAAUCCGGUCUUGCUAAAACUAUACUAUUGUUCAAUAGGGACACUUGCCUACAUCAUGGUGAUAGUUAGUUUCAAGAAUGAUUAAUUAUAAGUAUUUAAAACCUGUUACACGAAAAUCGCGGUCAAGUUUUUGGCGCUGUUGCCGGGGAACUAAGAUAUUAGGAACGCUUAAUUUUUAUUACUUUAGCCAUUUAUUUUUCUUGCAAUUUAAUUUAAUUUAAUUUUUUAUUAUUUAUUAAUUUACUUUUUCUUUCUCUUAGCAGGUUUUUAUAGUUUAUGACUAGAAGAAACCCGUCAGGACCACUACUCUUUGACGAAGAAAUCGAUCGCACAGUUCGCAGAAACCAAAGAGAAAUAAGGUGAAGCUUAAGAUACACAGAAAAUGAGCAAGAGGACCGAAGAGAUGGCUGAAAACCAAUACAAUCAGCUACCUCCUGCAAUUGCAGUUAACCAAAAUCCUGCUCUGUGCACUUUGUAUGAUUAUGCUAAACCUUCUUUAAUAGGAACUGAAUCGAGCAUAGUUAGACUUGCUGUAGCUGCAAAUACUAUUGAACUAAAACCUAACACUAUUCAAAUGAUACAACAAUUUUUUCAGUUUGAUGGUUUGCAGGAUGAGGAUCCCAACGCUCAGUUAGCAAACUUUUUAGAACUAUGCAAUCAAUUUAAAAUUAAUGGUGUUUCCAACGAUGCCAUUCGUCUUUGGUUAUUCCAUUUUUCAUUGAGGAACAAAGCUAAACAGUGGUUGAACUCGUUACCACGAGGGUCAAUUACUACUUGGGAACAAAUGACCAAAAAAUUUUUACUAAAAUAUUUUCCGCCGGCUAAAACGGCUAAAUUACGUAAAGAUAUCUCUUCGUUUGUACAGAUGGACUUAGAAACUCUUUACGAUGCAUAGGAGAGAUACAAGAACUUACUAACCUCACCAUGGGUUACCGCUUUGGCUUCAGGUUCAAACAUUCCAUAAUGACCUGAAUCCUUCGACUCGACAAAUGGUUGACGCAGCUGCUGGCGUAACCAUCAAUAAUAAAACACCUAAAGAUGCUUAUGAGUUUAUAGAGGAGAUGUCACUAAAUAACUAUCAGUGGAAUGUCAUGAGGAUAAAACUAGCAAAAACAGUCGGUGUUUAUAAAUUUGAUUCGGCCACCAUGCUCUCUAAUCAGGUAGAACUGUUGAAUAAGAAAAUUGAUGGUUUUCUUAGUUCUUCACAGGUUUAGCCAGCAAUGCAGUGCAGAGCAAGUGAAGGUGGAUCAAGAAAUUCGGAAUACCAACUUUAUGGCCACAACAUGGAUAACAAGCAGUUAAAUUACAUGGAUAAUAAUUCUCGAUCUCAAAACAAUCCAUAUAGUAACACUUACAAUUCAGGUUAGAGGAACCACCCAAAUUUCAUGGGGAGACCAAGGAAAUCAGAGACCACCUCCAAGCUACCAACAACCACCCUACCAAUAGGAAAAGAAGCCAAACCUUAAAGAAAUGCUCUCAAAGUUUGUAUCGGUGUCAGAAACUCAUUUCCAGAAUACCAAGACAGCACUUAAGAAUCAACAAGCAUCGGUCCAAGGGCUCGAAACGCAGAUAGGCCAGCUAUCCAAACUAAUCUUCGAACGACCACAAGGUAGCCUGGCAAGUAAUAUUGAACCCAACCCAAGGGAACAGCUCAAUGCAAUUAAUGCUCAAGAUGAAGAAGAAUUUGUUGAGCCUAAGCCAGAACCGAAGCAAGAAAUUGUGGUGAGCAGAGAUCAAGAUAAGGUAGGUCAUAAUAAAAACAAAUCAGUGAAUGUCGAAUAUAAACCUCGUGUGCCAUACCCCAAUGCGACAAGGAAAGACUGCUCAGAUGAACAAUUUGGUAAAUUCCUUAAACUCUUAAAAAAAUUACACAUUAACUUACCGUUUAUUGAAGCUCUAUCGCAGAUGUCAAAUGCAAUGAAAUUUUUAAAGGAGCUUUUAGCAAAUAAGCGGAAGUUGGAUGAGGCGUAGCAUGUGGAGCUAAACCCAGUUUGCUCAGCUAUUCUACAGAAUAAACUACCCAACAAACUAAAAAAUCUAGGGAGUUUUACGAUUCCUUGCUUAAUUGGUAGUGUAGAUGUUAAUAAUGCAUUAGCUGAUUUAGGGGCUAGUAUUAACGUCAUGCCCUAAAAAAUGUUCAAUCAAUUAGGUCUUGGGAAACCCAAACAGACUAGGAUAAGCAUUCAAUUGGCAGAUAAAACUAUAAGAUUCCGUAGGGGUAUUAUUGAAUGUGCUAGUUAAAAUUGAUAAAUUCAUAUUUCCCGUUGACUUCAUUGUUUUAGACAUAGAGGAGGAUAGCAACACUCCUUUGAUUUUAGGAAGGCCCUUUUUGGCAACUGCUAAAACGAUUAUUGAUGUUGGCACAGGUGAACUCACACUCCGUGUGGGAGACGAAACAAUCACCCUUCAAGCUUGCAAUUCUGGCAACACAUCAAAAAUUGAAAGUGAUUAUUUAGACCAUUCUACUAAAACUGACAAUAUGGUGCAACCUACUCUGUAGGAAAUGAGUCUGAGGGAAGCACAUGAGCCAUUCUCAAGCAAUAGUAGAGUACCUAUUCAUGAAUACCGAAGGCUACAAGUUGAGGGCCUAGAUGAAUGGCGGAUGAAUAAACCGAGAAUACAUGAUAAAUCAAAACUACGCCAGAACGAGCUCAACACCUUCUCACAUCAACUUAAGGUUAGAGAUAAAGUCUUAUUAGAUACUGCAGAUCCUCACAUUGUCACUACCACACCGAAUGAAGAAAUCCCUCUUACGUUACUUAGCAUUUUCCCAUUCGGUACAGUCGAGGUAAGUCAUCCCAAGUUCGGCACUUUUAAGGUAAACAACACCUGUCUAAAACCUUAUUUUGAUGAGAAUGAUAGUAGGAAUGUGGAGUAUAAACUCCUUGAACCCCCAUGACCAUUCAAUGGAGAGGUAAGUCGAGCUUAGACUAUAAAUAAGCGCUUCUCGGGAGGCAACUCGAGCACUAACUGUAUUAACUUCUUUAAAUUUUAAUGUUUAACACCUAACUUACUAACGGAGCUCUUGAAUACAGGUUUACCACCUAUACACGGCCAAGCACACGGGCGUGCUGAGGCCGUGUGAAAAUAGGGAAAAGAUUUCCCCAACAUGGGCUACGAUAAAGCGCCACGGCCGUGCGACAUGGGCGUGGGCGAGCCUACCAAAACAGUACGAGCGUGCAACACACCCGUGCCUUUAACCUGUGGCCGAACCUGUCAAAUUAACACGAGUGUGCGACACGCCUGUGCCAAGCAACCAUGGGCGAACCUGUUAAAUUAACACGGGCGUUGGCCUACAUACACGGGCGUGGGAGAAGCGAAUGAAGCCAGGCACGAUUGUCGACACGGUCGUGUGCACCCCUAUGCCCAAGGAACACGGGCGUGCGAAAAUUAUCAAACGUGCCCAAAUUCAAAAUUUGCGAGUCACACGAGCAAAAAUUGGGGAACACGGGCGUGUUCCCUGGUCGUGUACCCCAAAAUCUAUAAAUAGGCUGCACUAUUCAUUAUCUUCUUCACCCAAAAACCCUAACCCUAGUCGCUUCAAGUCCACACGCCCUCCCCACCACGCCGGUGCGCUACUUCCAACUUUAUUUUCGACACCCAAUCUAUCUCCUUUAGCGUUUGUUUACUCCAUUCUCUUUUAUUUCAUUGAUUGAUAAUACUAUUUAUCAUAAGUAAUCUAUAUUUUUCAUUUUAUUUUCAUCUUUCUAUCACUUAAAUUUCAUUUAUAGAACAAGUUAUCAUCUUUUUCAUGUUCAAAUUCUUACUCAUUACAUGAUUUCUCUACUCCAUUUGAUUAGUUAGAAGUUCAUAUUCAUGGUUAGGAUAGCUGAAAUUUUCAUGUUUCUUGUGUUGACAUUUCUGUUCAUUCAUAUAAUAUGUUGCAUUCCAUUCUUUGCCAUUUUUACUUAUGUCACCAUGCUAAUGCCACAAAAAUAGGUCAUUGAACUUAUUGUUUUAGUUAAACUUAGUAGUUGUGGCUGAACAUAUUUAUGCUUUUUCCUCUUCGAAUUUAGUCACAUUUUCUUUCCUUGUCUACUCAUCAAGAUGAAUUGAUGUUUCCACUUACAGGUAUAUAAUGUUGUCUUCAUGUGGUAAAAAUGCCCCUGUCCCUACUUCAAAUAAAAGGAAGGGAGCGUCAUCUUCUCGGGUCCUACCGCGAAAGUUCGUCAUCCUUUCCUGAGGUUCCCCAUCGGGCCCCAAGAAGAACUCUUCCAAAUACUCCGGGCCCAACCUUUAAUUACGGGCCGCUGCAUCAACUCGGCUGCAAUAGAACAAGGUCAGUUGGCUGAUGCGAUUCGGGCCGUCCUAACCAUCGAUCCUUGGGAGCUUUUCUUUGGGAUCAUCGAGCUGACGUAUCUCGAGGUCACGAUGGAAUUAUGCUCCACAUUUCAUUUUCAGAUCGUGAUGACGAACUACGAUGAUCUCGGUACGAUGCAAUUUUCCCUAGGCGGAUUAGUCCGCCAACUCAAGGCCCCAGAAUUUGGUACGGCACUGGGCUUAUAUACGGAGGAAUUCAUGGAGGAAAAUGACUUAGAUACUCUUAACCGCCAUAUCUAUCAUUCUCCUUCACGUUGUUGGGACGCACUAGUACCAGGUGCAGCCACUUAUAAUCCUAGUCGCUCCAAAGCAUCGACUCUCCCUCUAUCUCUGAGGUACCUACACGCCAUUUUGGCUCACACGAUAAUAGGAAGGCGAGAGAGCACUGGCGUCAUUAAUACUCAUGACACCUACUUUCUAUGGUGCAUGUCGUACGGGCACGUCAUCAACCUUUCCUAUUUCAUUACCCUUGCCAUUCAACACCAGACGGAGCGGCAUAGGAAGGGGGUCAUCUCUAUUGGCCCCUAUGUUACGCAGUUGACUCGACACUAUGGGCUGCUCAAUACCGCAGCCCAAGAAUCAUCCUUGACCCUCAUUGGCCAGAUGUCUCCACAAGGCAUCUCGAGCAUUCUUAGCAUGAGGAUGAUCGAAAAGCGCCGAGGAACCUACCCUCCUCAAUAUUGUCUCACCCAAUCUACCGAGGAGGAGGCCUCCUAGGACAUUACUGAUGAUGUCCCCCUACAGCAUGAGGACCUACCACCACCCUCUCAUCCAGUUUAUGCGGUGGCUUCAUAUGCUGACAUCUCUGAGCGCCUCACUCGAUUCGAGUAGCAGUUUUUUCAACGAUUUGACAACAUUGAUGCUACUCUACAGUAGAUUUGUCAGCACCUCCACAUCUCAUCGCCGCCCCCGCCGCGCGAACCAUUUAGCAAUGAAGAUGUUUAAAAACAUUUAUUUAUUAUUUUAUGUUUUUACUUUUAUUUUAAUUUAAGGCUACUUUUUAUUUUUCUUUCACCUUAUUUUUAUUAGGAUUUAUAAUUAUUAUUUUACAAUUUUAAAUUUUGGCUAAUUCCUAUUGAGUACUUAGCCUUCCUUAUAUAUUUCCUAAAAGAGUUCCUGAUUCUAUCACAGUUAUAAAGAGCUCUACAGCUCACUAUUACUUAGGAACUCGAAACUGCAUUGGGAAAGGUUCUCCACAACUGCCAUGUCCUGCUCGACCACGAUCAUAACCAACUUUAGAUAUAAUAUUCUUUUGGCAUAGGACUUAAGGACUAAUGAACCUCUACCACUGCCAGAGUAUCCUCCUCCACCCUCACGCCGACUAUUCUCCAAAACUCCAGUUCAAGGAAAUUCAUUCAUCACUCAAGAAGUUUUACCCCUCUCUCUAUCUUAUUUUUAUAUUCUUAUAUCUAUCUUUGUACAUUGAGGACAAUGUACAUCUUAAGUGUGGGGGGUAUUCAUUUUACUAUCAGAAAAAUCCCUGAAUGACUGUCUUGUUCUCUUGAAAAGCUCUCAUAUCAUAUCUAGGAUAAAUUUUAUUGAUUUAUGAUUUUGAUUGAUAUAUCUUGAAUUAAAACAUAGGCAUUUAUGCAUUGAUUGUUUAAACUUUAAGACAUUAGAGAAUCAAACAUGAUAAGUUGAUUUUUAAGAAUUUAAAAUUUUGGGUUGUUUCCCCAAAGUUUAGGUAUUACUUUGAGUUGGAAUUCACAAGUUUUAAACACCAAAAAGCCAUAAUUCUUGUGAGAUUUUUUAGCCUUUUGAGCAUCUAUUAAUUCUUUCAUGCUCACUUUUAUUAUUGCUUUGAGUGCGUCAGUAUUGAACUAUUAUUCUAGAACUUGCUUGAUUAUGCAUGUCAAGACCACACCAUUUGAUUUGAUAUGUCAAAAUGAUUAAGGCACUUAGGAUUAACCCACUCAUGCCAUGAAAAGCCUACCUCCACGAUUAACCCUUAGUAAACCCCGUUGAGCUAAUAAGCCAUUCCUUUUAUUACCCUUAAUAUUAACCCUUAACCCAUUACUAUUGAAAUCCCCUAAAUUAAAUUGAUCCCCACUUUUGUCGAGAUUGGAAUUGAAAUAGUUACUUAGCUAUGUUUUAUUCUACUUUGUAAUUUAACUUGUUCUUAAAAAAACAUAUAUACAUAUUAGUAGUAGUAAUCUUUUAAGCCAAAGAAGUUAAAUUCCAUAUUCUAAGAAAAGCUUUGUUGUACGCAAGUGAUGAUUAGCUAUUUUUCUAGUUAGACAAUUUUUCAAUUCAAUCUCAAUUCUAAACUUUCCUUUCAGCUUGAGACCACACCCCCUAACCAAGCCUCGUUACAACCCUCUAAAGACCUUUUGAUUGAUGUAUCAUCUCAAUUUAUAGUAGUGGGGAUUUGAUUUUCAUGCAAGCUUAUGGUAAUAAUUUUUUAUUAUUAACUAUUGAGUGCUUCAUUUAUUUUCCUUAAACACCUCGAGUGAUUUGAGUGAAUCUUUAGUGAGGAUGUGAAACUCUGUGAUAUUCUGAAUCAAAGGUAAUUACUUAGAUAAGGGGAGAUGCUUAUGUUUUGCGUGAUUAAAUACUCAACUUGGAAUGUUUGAAACUUUGAUAUUCUUUUAGUUGAAUUCUCAGUGUAUGAUUACUUAUGGAUUAUUUUGAGGUAUUAUCGAUAGAAAUUAUGAGUUGAGAAGGAUUUAUUUUGAUUAUGAGCUGAGGAUUUUGCUUGAGGACAAGCAAAUGCUUAAGUGUGGGGGUAUUUGAUAAACCGUAAUUUAUACAUAUUUUUACCCCAUGCUUAACGCAUUUUAUGGAUGAUUUCUCCUUAGAAUUGGUGAAUACGAUGCUCCGAAUGCCUUAAUUUCAUGUUUUAUACUUAGGUGAGCAUAGGUGAGCGAAAAGAAGGAGAAACAAGCCAAAAACGGAGAAAAUGGGCCAAAGUACGAAAUCAACACGGCUUAGACUUCCUUACACGGCCAGACCAAACGACCGUGUCAAUUGGGCAAAAUUGAAGUACGACUUACACGGACGUGUCCCUACCGAGGCCAAGUUUAGUCCAAUUCGGAAAAGGCUAAUUUUGAGGGCUUUUAGGCAUUCCAAAGCCUAUAAAUACACCCUAGAGGAGGAAGAAAAGACACACAGAGAGAAGGAGGCAGGGAACUACUCAAGGGAAGCCGAUUGAUCCAUCUCAGAAGCCGGUGUCACAAUCAAGACUGAAGAUCUCCCCUCAAUUUCCCUUCAGGAGUUUUGGGUUUUCUUUAUGUUUUGUAUUCAUUAUUCUUCUAAGAUGUUUUCCUUUUUAGUUAUGAACUAAAUUCCCUAAAUACCUAAGGGGAAUGAAACCUAAGACGAAUCUUGUUAUUAUUUUCUGAAUUGUAUGAUAAAUAUUUAAUUUGUUCUUAAUUAUGUGUUCUUAAUUCUUGUUUUGAUAUCCCAGGAUACUGAUUCAAGAUAAGCUCUUAUUCAGAGGAGGAAUAGACCUGUCUAAGAGUACAUUUGUCUUAAUUAAGCGCAGUUGGUUGUGUGCCUAGACAUAGGGUGACAAGAUUUUUCCAGAUUAGGGUGAAACCUAAUAAGAGGAUCCAUAGAUCAAGUUAAUGCAACCCUAGGGUGUUAAUUAGAGAAAAGUCUCAAUUAUUCAAUCUAGGGAUUAAACGUUAUUAGUCCUGAAUAGGGAUAAGAACAUAACUUAGGGAUCUCUGCGGGACAAGUUAAAUGAAUAAAUCGUCCGAUUCAGAGCCAGAAUAACAAGUAAAGUGUAAGUGGAUUUUUUCCUUAGGUGUUGUCUUAAUUCAAUCGUUUUCCAAAAGUAAUCCCCCAAUUUUACUUUCUACAAAUUCUAAGUUUAGAUAAUUAGUUAGUUAAAACCAAACCCCCUAUUUUUAGGCUAGAUAAUAAAAAGACAGUCAUUACUAGUACUUUUAGUUCCUUUGGGUUCGACAAUUUGGUCUUGCUAAAACUAUACUACUGUUCGAUAGGUACACUUGCCUACAUCGUGAUAAUAGUUAGUUUCAAGAACGAUUAAUUAUAAGUAUUUAAACCCUGUCACACGAAAAUCGCGAUUAGUGUGUAAAGGCUGCACCUAUUUUAUGAAAAAUCAUAAAUUUUAAAUCAACCACACGGCCUAGCACAUGGGCGUGUGACUUGGCCGUGUGUCUUCAUUUUGUUCAUGGGUGACAAACAGAGAGUUACACGGGGUUAAGACACGGGCGUGUGUGACCACGCGGCGCCCACACGAGCGUGUCCUCUAUCGACACGGGCGUGUGACCCCUGUUUAGUGAAAUUUUUUUCUAAGUUUUACAAAAUGUUCUAAAGUUCUCGGUUUAGUCCCAAACCACUUCCAAAGCAUGUUUUGGGCCUCGAAUGUAACAGUCCGUUUUUAGGUCAAAUCAGAACAUUGAUUUCAGGACCAUAAAUCUAAAGUCAAAAUGUUUAUUUUAUUAUUUCAACAAGUUUUAAAACAUGAUAGAUUAAUUAUGUGAAAGUUUCGUAAAGAAACUUUACUGUUUAAGUGCUCAAUUCGGUAAAAUGGACUAAAUCGAAUAAUACGUAAAAUAUGAGAUCUAUUAGUUAAAUGACUCAAAUAGGUAUGAAAUUUAUAUUAUAAGUCCUUAAGUUGUUAUUAUACCCUUGUUUAAGUUAAUGGACAUUUAUGUCCAUGAAUUACAUGAUAUAUUAAGUUUAAUUUUAAGGUUAUAAUGGUAAUUUAUGUAUUAAGUUAGUAUUAAUAAAACAAAAAUUAAAAUCAUGUUGUUCUAUCCAUCUUUUUGCCGAACGUUGAGAAAGAAAUAAGGGUUUUUGGGCUUUCAUGGUUUCGGCAACUUCAAUCUUUAAUUAUGAUCAAGAUUAACAAAUACCGGAAUUAGAUCGAGGGAAACGAAAGAUAGACGAGUAGACUACGGUUAUAUGAGUAAAUACGAGGUAAGUUGUAUAAUUAGAAUUGAAUUUUUCUAAACUUGUAAUUGUUGAAUUGAAUGUAAAUUAUUGAAAUACUUGAAAUAUGAAUGCAUAGAAGAUAUAUUGUAUUCGUUAUGAAGCCCCGUUUGAACUAUGAGAAUUCUUUGGAUAUGAGUGAAAUGUUAUUGAGAUUACCAUAUUGGUCAAGCUCCUGCAUUUGUUGUAGACUCAUGACAGCUCAUAAGAGCUUACCGUUUCAGCUCUUUGGAGCUUACCGUUUUAGCUCAAUAAAGCUUAAUGUUCAGCUCAAAAGAGCUUACCGACCAUGACUCGAAAAAGCAUGUAUGAUGAUGAAUUGAUGGAUUAAUGACAUAGUUCACUCGAAUAUCCUUUGAAGUUUUAAUAAAUUCAACAGGCCUAAAUAAUAUUUUGCGGAUAAGCUACGAGUUAUAAGUGUUGUUAAGGUUAUAUGUUGAUAUGUGAAUUUGGAAUGCAUAAAGUAUUAUACUGAUGGAUGUUUAUAGGUACUUGAUAAAUGACUAACAUUUGAUGAAUAUUUGUGAUUAGGUGUUGGUUACUCGAAUUGGUUACAUAUUUAUAUUGCUUUGAUUAAUUAAAUGGUAAGUUUAAUUCUGAAUUAUACGGGCUUACUAAGCCAUAAGCUUACUCUGUUUCUUUUUCUAUGUUUUAUAGAGGUUCGCUGCUCGCUCGUUUCAGACAAGUCAGAGUUGUACAUCACACUAUCUAAUUUCCAAUUGGUACUUUGAAACCUGUGGAUUGUGUAAAUAUGGCAUGUAUAGGCUAGUUUAAAUGAUGUUAGUUAUGAUACUUGACAACGUUGUUUUGGUAUGUUUUGUGUAUGAACUAAUCCUUGUGAUGUGGCUUAUCUAGUAUCAUGUUUUGUUAUAUAUAUAUAUAAGUUUAAAUAUGCUAUGUUUUGGAAUGGUAAUGCUUGAAUGAAAAUAUGCAAAUGAGACAUUGUUAUGUGUUGCUAGAAGAAUGGAUUUUGUAUGGCAUUAAAUAGGUAGUUAUAUAUCAAGAUGAAUUAGCAUAUAUUGUAUAUGAAAUGGUUAUGAUUUGGCUGUCAAUUGAGUUAUGAAAUGUGGUCAUUUAUGCUUGGGAUUGCUUGGGAUUGUAGGGUGGAAAAAUUGGCAUUUCAAAUGACCUAUUUUUUCCCACACGGGCAUGUGUCUCAGCCGUGUUGCUUGAAGGCCAUUUUGAAAUGAGCUUGAGCAGACCACACAGUCACUCACACAUGGGCGUGUGCUAAGCCGUAUGGCCAAGUCAGUUUUGAGCACGGGCUAGACAUACAGGCAUGUGACUAGCAGUGUAGCCAAGUCAGUAGCCUCCCUAAUUUUCACACGGCCUAGCACACGAGCAUGUCUUGUGGCCAUCUGGACAAGUCAGUAUGUAUGCCCUGUUUCACCAUGGCCUAGACACACAAGUGUGUCUAAUGCCGUGUGAAGCACACGGCCUAUUCACACAGGCGUGUAAUAGUUGAAAUGUUAAAAAUUUUCUAAAUUUUUGAAAUUUGUAAUAUGUUAUGAUUUAGUCACGAAUGUAUGUUUAAAGCUUGAUAUGUUUGUUUUAAGUACAUAAUGGAUGUGAAUGAAUGUUAUUGAUUGAAUUAUGAAUUUUCUGGAUAAAUAAUUGUUCUGAAUUGAGUUACAAGUCUGGUAAUACCUCUUAACCUAUUCCGACGACGGUUACGGGUUAGGAGUGCUACAUUUGUUGGUAUCAGAGCUACGGUUUAGUCGAUUCUAGGACUAACGUAGCAUAUGUGAGUCUAACUAUACAUACCAUAUAUAAAACUGUGAUAGUGUGAUGACUCUUGACGCUCUUAAAUGUGUUUUCGUAUAGAAAUGGACCCUGAAUGAGUUGUAGAGGAUAACGUAGAAAGUAAUGCACCGACUCUCGCUUAAGGAGUAGUGCCUACUGAAUCCUGACCUGUGACGAGUAGUCACGAGGGUGAGGCUCAAGAAGCGUUCUUUCAGAUAUUAAAUGAGUGGUUUACACAGUAUAUACGUACGAACCCGGUUGUUCCACAACCUCCACCCCACCUAUUCCCCAACCGAUCCUAGUAGCUCCUUAAGGUAUUGAUCCCUUGAAAUUAAAUAAACCACAUGUUGAUAGAAUUCGAAAACACGGAGAUGAGAAAUUUAGAGCCACUACUAAUGAUGAUCCUAAGAGGGCCAAAAUUUGGCUAGAGAACACAAUUAGGUUGUUUGAUGAAUUGUCCUGCACACUCGAAGAAUGUAUGAAGUGUAUUGUAUCAUUGUUAAGAGAUGCUACAUAUUUGUGGUGGAAUACCUUAAUAUCCGUAGUUUCGCUGGAGCGAGUCAGUUAGGAUUUCUUUCAAGUUAAAUUUAGAAAGAAAUACAUUAGCCAAAGAUUCAUCGACCAGAAGAGAAAAGAAUUCCUUGAAUUGAAGCAAGGUCAUAUGAUAGUUACGGAGUAUGAGAGGGAGUUUGUACGACUCAACGAAUAUGCUCAUGAAUGUGUUUCUUCUGAAGCUAUAAUGUGUAAAAGUUUCGAGGAUGGAUUAAAUUAAGAAAUCAGAGUGUUAGUUGGAAUCCUUGAGUUGAAAGAGUUUGUCGUUUUGUUUGAUCGAGCUUGUAAAGCCAAAGAGCUCUGCAAAGAGAAAAGAAAAGUCGAUUCAGAGGCUAGAGAUUCUAAAAAGAGAUUUGCGGGUAAAUCACAUUAGUCAUCAUUGAAGAAAUUUAGAGACUAUCAUCCUCGUUCCACAGCCUCUGCGGGAAUUUCUAUUAAAGAUAGAAAUGCGAGACAAACAAGUUCAAAACCUUAGGCGACAUUUGUGGCCAGUGUGGGAAGUGUUAGAGACACUGGAUUUGAAUGUAAACAUUGUAAUAGAAAGCAUUACGGUGAAUGCAGAUUAGUGAGCGAAACUUGCUUUAAAUGUGGAUCUUUAGAUCAUUUUCUCUAUGAUUGUCUAAAAAAGUUCACAACUGAAAGAGAACAAUAGUGAAAUCAAGUAAUACGACUGCUAGAGGGAGACUACCCCGAAACACCAAAAAUGUGAGUGGUAAUCGAGGUGUUACGAGGGAUUCGACUGUGAGAUCCGAGGCACAAGCAC
rnacentral:lncRNA from 1 species